GGCGGAACCACCUCGGAUUAACUUAAGUAAAGCACGGUUAGGCCACUUCACACGCGACACUCAUGCCUUAAUCAAGUUAACUCGAUGUGCCGUUGGAUUUCAUCCGAUUUAACCACUUAAUAGGACCGAGUUAGCAUAACCCACAUGAAGGUGAGUGGUUCCAGAGAAUACAAUAGAUCCACCAAUUAAUUAACAAUUCAUGACACCUUGGUUGAAAAUCAGAGUUUUACAAGUUCUGAAGAAAACAAAAGAAGGUAAACACAUCGCGGAAGCUAUCGUCGGGGUCGGAUGUCGCUAGUGAGGCUAGCCAGGACAUCAGUGAUCCCAUUCCCCGCCGUCCGAGGAGGGAUCCCACUCGACCGUCCAACCCGGAGGGAGCUGGGGCGGCCAAGUGCCAGCAGCAAGCUCUGAAGCUGCAACUUCACCUGAAAAGAGAAGCCACAAACAAGACUGAGCUUCUAAGCUCAACAAGACUUAACCGACCGGUGGGAAAAGCUACUCCACCAUGUCUAGACAUGUAAGGCUCUUUGGCUGAGGGGUUUUGUUUGCCAAAAGCGACUAUGUUAGGUCCUUGCUUUCAAGUUUUAGCUCAGAUUCUAAGUUCAUUUACGAGUCUAGGUUGGCAACUUACACUGAGCAAACAUAGAUCCAACUUUAUGUAUAUCAACUCAUCAUCAAGACCAUGUCAUCAUCAGACUCCUUCAUUACUCAGUGUAGCAUUAUGAUCAAGUAGUCUCAAACUGUGAGAGGCAGACGAAUCGAUUCGAGUUCUUUAACCAUGCAUGGUGAACCUAACCUCACGAGAUCCGCGCACCACCGAGGGUCGCUUCCUGUGUCGGUCUUCCCCAUCAAUUCCCUAACCCGUGUCGAGUCCACUUCCUUUGGUGCAAGGUUCCGUAGACCCGGCCUCUGCCAUUCUGUGACCACACUUGCCACCACGUGCGGCCGCAGGGGAACUUCGUUCCAAAGAUAGUGGAGCGAUCGCUCACAUUUAGGUUCAAUCAGGUACUAGGCUUCCCCAUCCCAUACUGGGUAUGAGAUUAGUACUUUCAAACACUUGAUCACGAACACCACCACUAUCGGGCCUUAACAGGUUCAGUAAACAGAUGGGACGAUCAGCCGACCACCAAAAGAGUUAACCAAAACCUUGCCCCGUCCAUUGUCCUUAUAGUUGUAACAGAAGAAAACAACCAACUCCUAUAACUCGCGAGUGACCGGAAAUCACUCAGCUUUUACCGAUGCCUAUUUAAGCAUUGCAACUACUCGACCCAACAGACUAGUGUACAUUUCAAAGGAACUAUGGCAUGCAUCUAUGGUUGCAAACAACUCCUAUACGUAAAUGCACAAUCAUGAGAAGGAAGGCAUGCGCAAGUUUGGAAAGAUGGGUUCAUGCUCCGGGGCUUGUCUUCAAGCGGAGAGGAGGGAAACUGGUCUUUAGCUGGGGCUGCUUCGUCUUCUGGGAUUGGCAGCUCAGCUACGGCUCCGUCUUUAGGCGCCGAGUGUAGCUCGUAGUUGCCGUCAGCGAGAUGUAACUCUACAUGAACGCAACUGCAGGGGUUAGUGUUUAGACGGUUAUUUCAACAACACUUGCAAGUUUAAGCUCAGACAUUCAUAGCAAAGCUACAGAAAAGGUGGGAAAGUUCACUUUAGUUGGGGGAGAACAGGAUAAAAGGGUCGGAUGGGGGAAAACUUGGGAUCUGACCCUUAAAGUUAAGGAAUAACUGUGCCGGGGUCCUCAGACUUAACACCGGGGAGUUCCCGAUAUUUUGCACAGAUACCCUCGGGUCAAGGAAAAGGAUAUCGCCGAGUCCUCGGGCGAGGUGAUAAGGGUCGGCGAAACAGACAGGGUCGGGCGAGGCGGAGAAGGGGUCGGGCGAAUCGGAAAGGGGUAGGCAGCUUACCUUCAGGUUUAUAGGUGAAGCUUGGGGUCGGGAAGGAGCAGACUUGGGUGGAAAGACUAAAGCACUAAGGCUUGGGCGGCGGCGAGGUUUGACGGUGCUCCGGCAGCGGCGAAGCUUCUUGUGGGCGACAAGGAAGCUCUAGCACAGCACGGAGGAGCAGACGGCUGGGUAGAUCAGGGAGAAGCGGACUUGAGCGGUGAGGGGAACUUCUCAAGAGUUUCAGCGGGAUUGCUCAAGUGCGCUCAGAGUAGGGGUGGUGAAACAGCAAUGGCGAAGGAACUCCGGUGGGACUCUGGCAUUCCCUUUUAUAGCAGCGUGGAAGAGAGAGAUUUCGAGCAGCACGAAGACCGGGAAGAAAAGGAUAGAGUGCGCUGCCAUGGCAGCGAUUGAGCGGCGGAACAGGACCUUGGAGAUAGAGUCUUCGGCUAUUGGGCACUGGAGACAAGGUGGCGCAGGCGCGGUUUUGCCGGGGUUUAGAUUUGGCGGAGGCGAGCGUAGCCUGGUCGCGUCGAGCGGCGGAUUUGACUGAUGUGACAGGGAGAAAGGUGCUACAAGCGAGGUUGCAACAGGCGAAGUGACAGGGCGAGCGGCAGCGCGGGCGAGCGUGAAACAGCGGCAUUGCCGGGGCACAUCACUGGUGAGGCGAGAAAAGGAGCUGUCGCUGCCGAAGUCAGGGUUGGCAAGGGAGGAAUCAUCGUGGAGUGAGCUCGUGGGCGGCGCGACUGUGGAGAGGAAGGAAAACCGGAAGGCAUCGGGUCUUACAGCCGGGGAUCCAGCAAGAUGAUGGGCGCGGGUUGCGAGGCGGUCUGACGCAAUAGCAGCAAAACUCUGCCACGGCGGCGACGGGGCACCUUGGCGCGGUCGGCGAGGGCGCGAGCGAGACGAGGCGAUGCAGAAAGGGUUGCAGAGGUGCUUCCGCUGCGAUUGGGGAGGAGGGCGCGUGGAUCCAUCCUGUCACGGCCGGCGACUGGGCGAAGCGGCGGGCGUUGGAGAGAUCAAGCCACGUGGUGGGGAAGCUCUGAAGCGGGCGCAUGCUGCUCGGCGCGUCUGCCUCGGGAGAUCCGGGGAGAAGGAUUUUGGGUCCACCAGUCAGUCUCGGUUGUUCCACAGCUCCAAGAUUGAAAGGAACACUACCUUUGGGGACUCAGAAGGAACCGACGGUUUUGGUUGGGUUCUCAGGGGUCGGGACUAAGAAUCGGUUUUGGAGCGCUUAAGCUUCGGGGAGCUGAGAUAGAGGGAUUUGGUACUUUCAGUUGAAGAUUAACUCGGCUGAUCAACCAAGGUCGUUACAGCCUCAUGCACUUGAACCGCCCCAAAUGCAACUUCCUUUCUACCGUAAUCCUUGCCUUGCAUCGUUUGGGUACAAACAUGAAUACAACUGACCUCCUGCAUGUGCAUGUCAUGUAGACGCAAAUCUCGCUGACGGCACCUACGAGCUCCACCCUGCACUAGAGGAAGAACCUGCUGCGGAGCUUUAUCACCUGGAGGGCGAGCCCAAGCUAGACCAAGACCCUGUGGAACCGCUAACUUUUCCUGAAGGCAAGCCCUGGUGCAUGCUUCCAUGUUUUUAAAUUUAUGCAAGUUGUUGAUGCUUAUGAUUGUGCAUUUAUGUUCGUAGGAGUUGAUUGAAACCAUAGAUGCAUGAACCUAGUACCUUGAUCUGAAUACUAGUUGCUAAGGUCGAGUAGCUGCAAUGCUUAAUAGGUCCCAGUAAAAGUCGAGUGAUUUUCUUGUCACUCGCGAGUUAUAGGAGUUGAAUGUUUUACUUACGCUACAACUAUAAGGACGAUGGACGGGGCAGGGCUUAUGUUCGAUACUUGGUGGUUUGCCUUGUCUGUCUAAAUGAAAUUGGAGUAAGGUCGAAAUGUGUCGGUGUUCGUGAUCAAGUGUUUGAAAGUACUAAUCUCAUACCUAGUAUGGGAUGGGGAAGCUUAGUACUUGAUUGAACUGGGGCGUGGCUUAUACUCCUGCUGUCCUUGGAACACCGUUCCCAUGGUGCAUCAUGUGGGUGCAAGUGCGGUCACAGUGCAGCAGUAGGCCGGGACUGUGGAGCAUUGCACGCCAAAGAUAGUUUGGCCCUGACACGUGCCUAAGGGAUCGAUGGGGACGGCUGACAAAUGAAGCGACCCUUCGUGGUGCGCGGAUGUCGUGAGAUUAGGUUCGCCAUGCAUGGUUAAUAAAUUCGAAUCGAUUCGUCUGCCUCUCACAGUUUGGGACUACUAGAUCGUUAUUCUGCACUGAGUAAAUAUGGAACAUGAUGAUGAUAUUAAUCUUGAUUUUUGUUCCGUAAUUGUUUGGAAACUAUGCUUGCUUAGUAUAAGUUGCUAAUCUAGACUUGUUAAAGAACGUAGAACUUGAGCUAAAAUCUUGAAAGUAAGGACCGACUAUAGACGCUUUUGGCAAAACAAACCCCUCAGCCAAAAAGCCUUGCAUGUCCAGGUUCUGAUGAAAAUGGUUAUCACCCGACGGGUCAGUCUUGGUGAGUACUAAUUGCUCAGCCUUGUUGUGGCUUAACUUUUCAGGUGAUGUUACUAGUUUGGCUACUGGCACCACUUGGCCGACCCAGCUCCCUCCGGGCUGGACAGUCGAGUGAGAUCUCUCCUCGGACGACGAGAGCAGGGAUUAUUGAUGUCAUGAUCGGCUUCGUCAUGAUAUCGUGUAUCGACAUUUAGCUUCCGCUUGUUUUAUCUCAUCUAGUCGAACCUUGCAAACUCGUUUGAAUUCUGAAAACUCUGAUGUAAUAAUUUGUUGAACUACAUUAAUGUGAUGGGAAUCUUGUAAUCACUGUGCUACUCACCUUCGUGUGAGCAAUGCUUCUCGAUCCUGUGUAAGUGGUUUAUCGGAUGAAACCCGACGGACGACUGAGUUGACUUGCUUAAAGUGCAUGAUCGCGUGUCAGGCGAUUUAAGUGCAUUUUAGCCAAGUUAAUUUGGACGGUUCCGCCACAGCUGGUAUCAGAGCUUGAAGCACGGUACAGAGAACAACAGACCUUAAAGCACUUUUUCUGAAUAAAAUUUGCAUGAAACUAGUUGAAAAAUUCGUAAGUUCGUUAAGGAUGAGUUUGUACGAGAAGCCCUUGGGGAAUUUUUGGGUCAUUUAAGGUGGCUAGUACCUAUUGGUUAUUUUCUAACUUCCAGCACUUGUCGCCACAUUUAUCAUACGUGUGCAGAGUUCAACAUCGCGAGUAUGCGAAGGGUGAUGGGAACUCGAUUCCAACGAGCCUGUCAUCACGGUUGUUUUCGCCCACGUCUAUUAUACGUGCGCAGGUUCUGUAUGUUAACUCAUGCAAAGGAUGGUAUGGUUCGAUUCCAACGAGCCUAUCAUCACGGUUGAUCUCCCACGUCUAUCAUACGUGUGCAGAGUUUCGCAUCGCGAGAAUGCGAAGGGUUAUAUGGUUCUAUUCAAAGGAACCUAUUUCCACGAUUGUUGCGCUGUCCAUGCAGCGUUAAACGCAUGGGUGCCAUUUCUAUAGUGAACGGUAAUGGUUGUGGAUGCUUUCGUGGGUGCUAGCACGAAAGGUUCAGGUGGUUGUGUUUUCCUGCAGGUACACUAACUACGUUUACGUGCGAAACGAUGCCUAGCAACUCGACUAGUUAUUAUAGUGAGAGUCAUAUUGUUGCCUUGCCACCAGCACUAAUUACGUAAGUCCAAGGCUUUUUGGCGAUUGUUUGGGUUGUGAGGACGACUAGGACGUGCAUGCAUUGGAAAAUAAAAAUUGCAACCUAAAGAAUAAAUCCGAGCUCGUGUGUGUCGUAAAAGAAAUACACCGCAAUAAGGAUUUUCUAGCCGUCUUUUUUCCGCCAUGCGAGCUGUGAUAAAAAUCUUUUAGGUUGUUCCAAGCGAUAACUCCAGAAACUUUUUAUAAGAAAAUUUUGUUAAAUAUCCUAAAUAACUUGCUGUAAAAUUUUUACAAAAUGCUACCACCUAGGUUGGAAGUUAGGGUCGGCUUUGUUUGGCUGAUAACACUGGGUGUAUACCAGUUGGAGUGUUAUUGUUUCGACCUCCCCCCUAACACCUUUUUUUGCCAGGAGCCCUUUUAUCUAAGUUGCUCAGAGCUUAGUAAAGGACUUGGUGGUAAAGUUUCAGCUUCAUUAGGACUCUGGUUCUGAAGUUAUGCUCAGUUUCCUUCAGCUCGGUUUGAAAAAUUCCAGCAUGUACCACUUAAUAGAAAUCUGAGCUUAUCACCCUAUUAGGUCCUGUUCUAGCUCUACCUUUGAAUACCAAACUUGUUGCGCACUACCUAAAAAAUAUGCUGGUAAAGUUUGAGAAAUUUCGGAUAAACACUUGCCGAGUUAUGAGCUUUUCUCUAACUGUCCAAAAUCUGUUUUGAUUUCCGAGUGUUGAUUCCGUUUCUCACUUGUCCUUUUGUUACAGAUGGCUCACCCCGUGUACGUUGCGGUUGGUGUAGAUGGCACCACCCACUCGAGGUGCCUCCACUACGAGGGUUUUCUGACCAUACUGUGGGACACCCUGCGUUCCUUUGGGUACCCGUGGCCGCCUGUUUAUGUGGGACGCGCGUACCAGGACCAUGGGAUUCCUCGGAGCUGCAUGCAUAUGAAGGUGCCCCUACCCCCGGAAUAGCCCCAGUGGCCACUGUUGGAGGUCGUGGACGAGGGACACACUUUGCAGGACACUUGGGAGUUUGCAGCUUUGCAGGCGCUGACACAGUUUUGCAGGGCACCCCCCCUGAAGAUUGUGUUAGACCCGAUUGGGUUGUUCCCUACCAGAGAUAGGAGAGAUCCGGAUUGGUUGGACCGCAUGGAGCACAUGGACUUGCUAGAUGAUUUGGACCCACAGUGCACGAUCUUUGUUUCAGCUCGCUACCUGAAUGCGUUCUACCGGAUGGUUGAGAUGCAGAGUAGGGUGAUGACCACUGUGAUUGGGAUGGCCAUGGCCAACCAGAUUGCCCUCACUACCGUGCAAAAUGGCAUGGUGGACUUGUCACUUGAGUUAGUACAGAAGGAUGUCCAGAUUUCUGAUAUGCAGAACCGGAUUACUAGUUUAGAGGAGAAUAUAGUAGAGAUGGAGCAUGACAUGGAGAUGUUGGCCGACCAAUUCCAUGAUGUGAACAUGGAGUUGACAAACACCAACGAGCACCUACAGGAGCAUCAUGCUGAGCUUGAUGCUAUCCACGCUUUAGAGGUGCAGCUGGAUGAGCCAUGGCUUAGGAGGAGGAGCCCGAGGAGAUCGAGGGCUUUUCAAGUAUGGAUUUUGAGGAAGCCACUCCGCAGCCUCGAGUCAGCGACGCUCACUCUUCGGCACUCAGCUUUGCCUCCGUAGGCAACCUUAACGACUUUUAGAUGAAUCGGCUUGUUGUGAGCGAUUCCUUUUGUUGUACUCCUCGACGACCUAUAGUUUUGGCUAGUGAUGUAAUAGGUUAGCUUGAGUUGAGUAGUCGGGUGUUGAAGAACUGAUUCCAUGCGUAGAUCUGCCGUUGCUACCAAUUAGUGUAAUGUCCGAAAGUUUAUGGCAGAAUUUCAGUGGCUGUUCUCCUCCAUUUUACCCUAUCUCCACUCAUUUUUGAUCCGAGGAUUGAAUACCAAAGCUGUGCGGGAACAUGUGUUCUAACUGCUCGUCAAAUUUUAGCUCCUUUGGAUCUGUCAAACUCGCGUUAGAACUACAACUCCGCAGCUCAGCUUGCUGAAGAUCAGCCCAGAAUAGAAACGGUGACCUCCGCCGACUUGGCCCGACCCCUCGCAGUGGGUCUCCACCUCGCUCGACCCCGGGCGCUACGGGUUGGACGUAUCCUGACCCACGAGACAGAGCUUCGCCUCGCCCAACCCUAGACGCUACGGGUCGGACGGACCCGAUGGCCACCAUCCGAGCCUUGCGCAUAGAAAAAAAAUACUUGCCGGAAUCUUGGCCGUGAUUAUUUUGACACCGACAGUUGGCGCGCCAGGAGCCAGCUAAUUGCUGACUGAGAUAUGCACCUACUUAAUAAAAGAUAUGAUUGUUGUGUUUGCAUUAUCGGCAAGAUUAGCAUUUAAAGAUUCAGCACAUAAUUUCCCUUAUGAUUGGAAAGCUUUAGGGAUUAUGUGACUAAUGGAAAGAUGACUCUUGCUGAUGGUGCACCGCACCUGCUCCGGCUCUAUUCCCAGUGGCAGUGAGUAGAGGCAGGUGCCUCCACCGCCUCCGCAUCCGCCCACACUAGAGGCAAUCUUGGCUUCUCGAACUGAGUUGUUGAGGCACAUCGCCCAGGGGCAACAUCAGCAGCCCCAGGGAGGAAGAGCUCAUCAGCAACCUCAUGUUGCUCGCUACGAGGACUUUCUGGGGACACAGCCUCCUCUGUUCCAUAAGAUGGAGGAUCCGCUCGACGCCGACACCUGGAUUCAUGCCAUCAAGUCCAAGUUCUCCCUCCUCACUGCCCAUUGCCCGGAUGAGAACAAGGCUCGAUUUGCCGCGCAGCAGCUGCAUGGUUCUGCCCUCCUAUGGUGGGAUCAAUACCAUGCCAUGCAGCCGACCGACCACCUCGUCAGCUGGGAGGAGUUCAAGACGGCGUUCAGGGGCCAUCAUAUCCCUGAGGGUCUCUUGGAGCGCAAGCUCAAUGAGUUCCUGGCUCUCAUCUAGGGAAGUCGCGAUGUCCUGCACUAUGCGCAGGCUUUCAACGAUCUAUGCCGCUAUGCCGGCUACCAUGCGGACACCGAUGAGAAGAAGCGGGACAGGUUCCGCAGGGGAUUGAGCCUGGAGCUCAGGGAGAGGUUGAACCCGAUAAAGGUGAAUACAUAUAAUGAGCUGGUCAACUUGGCCAUCUCACAAGAGGAUUGCAUGAAGGCUGUCAAGACCGACAUGAAGCGGAAGGCUCCAAUGUCAGCACCCAGCCCACCUGCAUAGAGAUACAUGAUGGUUCCCUCAUAGGCGCCCCACCGACCACAACAGUUGGGGAGAUGGGUUGCCCGACCUCCACCGCAGGCAGCACCUCGUUUCCCGGAAUUUCAACAGCAGGCACCGCGGCCGACCCUACCAAUGCCGCCACGCCCUGCUAUUGGAAACCGCUGCUUCACCUGCGGAAAUCCAGGGCACUUUGCCAAGGACUGCCCCCACAACAAGAAUCAGCGCCUAGGUCAGAACAAUGCGAUGAUCAACAAGGGAAAGAAGCCUAGAGUUCAGGUCCGACAAGGCAGGCUGAACUUCACCACCCUUGCCGAACUUCUGGAAGGCGCACCAGUGAUGACAGGUACUUUCUCUAUCCAUAACCAACCCUUCCUUAUUCUGUUCGAUUUGGGAGCAUCCCAUAGUUUCAUUGGGUCCAGAACCUGUGCUAAGUGUGGCUUAGGAUUCUGUCACACGAAAGGGGCAUAUAUAAUCUCUACCCCAGGUAGGAAAGUAUCCUCAUACCAAUUGACCCACCAGGUACCUAUCAAUCUAGGAAGAACCCUUUUUAAGGAAAACCUCCUUAUCCUUGGGAUAGAGGGGAUAGACAUUAUCUUGGGAAUGGAUUGGAUGACUCGGCAUCGAGUGGCACUAGACAUCCCUGCCAGAGCAGUUUACAUAAAUUCACCCAUUUAUGGUAGCUCAAUCAUACACUUACCCCACCGCAAGUGCAAAAAUUCUUGUGCCUAUCCUGUAAUUGAAGCCCGACUGGAGGACAUUCCAGUAGUAUGUGAGUAUCCCAAUGUGUUUCCAGAUGAUUUGCCAGGUAUGCCGCCUGAUAGAUAUAUCGAGUUUGCUAUUGAGUUGCAACUAGGGACUGCCCCAAUUUCAAAGAUACCAUACUGAAUGCCACCCGCAGAGCUGGCGGAAAUGAAAAAUUCAGUUGCAUGAUUUCCUGGAAAAAGGUUUUAUUCGUCCAAGUACAUCACCUUGGGGUUGUCUAUCUUUGUUUGUGAAAAAGAAGGAUGAGAGUCUACGUAUGUGUAUGGACUACCGACCCCUCAAUGCGGUGACAAUAAAGAACAAGUACCCACUACCCCGCAUUGAUGUCCUGUUUGAUUAGUUAGCUGGAGCUAGAGUAUUUUUUAAGAUUGAUCUUUGUUCCUACUACCAUCAAAUCAUGAUCCGACCGUGCAACAUUCCUAAGACCACCUUCUCUACGCGGUAUGGACUAUAUGAGUACUUAGUCAUGUCGUUUAGGCUUACUAAUGCGCCGACUUAUUUCGUGUAUCUCAUGAAUUCGGUGUUCAUGCCUGAACUUGACAAGUUCGUUGUGAUAUUCAUCAACGAUAUCCUGGUGUACUAGAAGAAUGAGGAAGAACAUGCAGAGCACCUUCUUACUGUGCUCCAAUGCUUAAGAGAUCACCAACUCUAUGCCAAAUUCUCCAAGUGUGACUUCUGGCUGGAUAGUGUUAAAUUCUUGGGGCACACUAUAUCUAGCGACAGCAUAGCAAUAGACCCAAGCAAAGUUCAAGAAGUGAUGGACUGGAAGCCACCCACUUUAGUUCAUCAAAUUCAAAGUUUUCUCGGCUUAGCAGGCUACUACCAUCGAUUCAUUCCUGACUUCUUAAAAAUAGCUAAGCCAAUGACUGAACUAUUGAAGAAAGGAGUUAAGUUUGUGUGGAGCGACAAAUGUGAAGAAGCUUUCCACACCUUGAGACAAUUGUUGACUUCUGCACCGGUUUUAGCUCAGCCAGACACCACUAGGCCGUUUGAUGUUUAUUGUGAUGCCUCUAGCACUGGACUUGGGUGUGUUCUUAUGCAAGACAACCGAGUCAUUGCCUAUGCCUCGCGAGCGCUACGACCACAUGAGCUAAAUUAUCCUACCCAUGAUCUUGAGUUAGCAGCAGUCGUCCAUGCUCUGAAAAUGUGGAGACAUUAUCUUAUGGGGACUCGUUGCAAUAUCUAUACAGAUCACAAGAGUCUCAAGUAUAUCUUCACUCAAGCAGACCUCAACAUGUGUCAAAGAACAUGGUUAGAAUUGAUCAAGGACUAUGACUUAGAAGUGCAUUAUCACCCAGGCAAAGCCAAUGUAGUUGCCGAUGCUCUCAGCCGCAAAAGCCAUUGUAACUGCUUGUCUGCAACCAACUAUGCCUAGACCUUAUGUCAUGAGAUGGCUAAGCUUAAAUUGGAAAUUGUUUCCCAUGAAAUCUUAAAUCAUAUUUCUCUUGAGCCUACCCUGGAGGACCAGAUUGUGUUAACACAAUUGGAAGAUAAAGAGAUAAAACUUAUCAAAAAGAAGCUCGCAUAGAAAGAUGAGGGAUAUAAGCACUUCUGACAGAAUUGGAAGGGAGUUGUAAAUUAUGAAGUCGAAUAUAAAGAGAAUAAUAAAUAUGAAAGAAAAGAAGUUCAUAAAUCUCAAGGCCCAUGAUUGCCACAUGUUGAUGACCCAGUUGCUUCCGAUUGUACUGAGGGCCGACAAAAUUUCUGGUGGAAUGGGAUGAAACCAGAUAUUGCUUGAUAUGUUUUAGAAUGUGAUACUUGUCAAUAGCAAGCCAUUUGAAGGUAGCUGGCACCUUGCAGCCGCUGCCUAUUCCUUCAUGGAAGUGGGAGGACAUAAGCAUGGACUUCAUAGUCGGAUUACCCAAUACCUCUCGCAAGCAUGAUUCCAUAUGGGUUAUAGUGGACCAACUUACCAAAAUAGCGCAUUUCCUUCCGGUACACACUACCCGCAUCGUACAAAAAUAUGCAGAGCUGUACCUUGACCAUAUUGUUUCCUUGCAUGGUGCGCCUAAAACUAACAUCUCUGAUCGAGGUAGCCAGUUUGUAGCAUGCUUUUGGGAACAAUUGCAGUCUUCACUUGGCACUAAGCUAAUUCGUAGCUCCACAUACCACCCUCAAACCGAUGGACAAACUGAAAGAGUCAAUCGGAUAUUGGAGGAUAUGCUACAUGCUUGUGUCAUGCAUUAUGACAAGAAUUGGGAGAAAUGUUUGCCUUUAGCAGAAUUCUCAUAUAACAAUAGCUACCAAGCUAGCUUGAAAAUGGCACCUUUCGAGGCCUUAUAUGGAUGUAGAUGCCAAAUCCUGCUAAGUUGGUCACAACCAGGAGAACGAACAGUGUAUGGACCUAACUUGGUCAUAGAGGCUGAAGAAAAAGUGAGAGUUAUCCGAGAAAAUCUUAAGGCCGCCCAGUCCCGACAGAAGAGCUAUUUCGAUCAGAGGAGAAUACCUAUCCAAUUUGAGGUUGGAGAUUUUGUAUACCUUCGAGUAUCGCCGACCAAGGGCGUAUAGCGUUUCGGAGUGAAAGGAAAAGUUGGCUCCACGCUAUAUUGGUCCCUAUGAGAUUGUGGAGAUUUGUGGACCUGUAGCGUACCGAGCUAAUCUCCCGGAGAAGAUUGCUGUGAUACACGAUGUUUUCCAUGUUUCGCAACUCAAGAAGUGUAUUCGAGUUCCAACCGAAGUUCUUGCCCCGGAAGAAUUGGAGAUUGAACCCGAUUUAUCAUACAAGGAAUAUCCUGUCAAGAUCCUCGACCAGAAAGAAAGACAUACUCGUAGACAAAUGGUGAGAAUGUACAAAAUUCAGUGGAGUAACCAUACGAAAGAUGAAGCAACAUGGGAGAUAGAAGAGUAUCUCAACACUAACUUCCGCGGUUUUCUUUUCGACCAGGGAGGUACGUUGCACCAGCCACACUAGUUCUUUUCUGCACUUGAAUCUCGGGACGAGAUUCCCUUAAGGAGGGUAGGCUGUAACAACUCUGCCUUAAUUUGGUGUACUUAAACCUAAACCAGUUGUUAGUUUCUAAAUGAAAGAGGUAACAUGUCCUUUUCGACCCUAAAAAGCUCUUUUUGGAGUUUAAUUUAAAAACUUGAGUUUUGGUUUGCAAACUUGAAUUUUUGCCCAAAUAAGAGUUGUAAAAAUUUUAAUUUCAAACAAAUUUUGUUAAAACGACUUUGGCUAUUUCUACUCAGAAGAUGCCCCAAAGUCGAGUCAAAGAUAGCCAAACCCCUAAAAUCCCACCCACUCGGCUGAAUUGCCUAAGUCUGAAAACUGUGGUUUUUGGCAAACCUUGGCUCGAGUUAUCCCCAAAUCCUUUCAAAAUCUGAGCAAAUACCUGUAAUAAAGUUUGAACUACGACCUGAGUACUACAAGUUUGCUUAAGGGGUUUUCGAAAGUUCAGUUUAAAAAAAAAAUCUUGAGAGGAGAGCCCCCAAAGUCGGUCAAGUUUGCUGCCCGACACUGCCUCGAUGCCAGUGCGAUCGAGCAUGUUCACCCGCGCGCCACGUGGCCGCUGGCCAUUGGCAUCUCGCCGGCACCCUAUCCCUGACAAGGAGGCGAAAGGAUGGGAGCCUCGACGCCCAACCCGCGCCCACGACAAGACGGAGCGAGCACCGUGCUGGCCAAUUGCCGGCCGAGCACAUCCUUGCCCCUCCCGCGCAUCCACGCCGCCAACCCGAGCUUCGCCCGCUCGCCGAAAAAGCUGCCACACCGCCAUCGUCCUACGCCUCCGCCCGCUCACCCAACCAGAGCCUUGGCGCUCUGCUUCGCCCGCCCGCCCGACCGGAUGUACGCGCCACGCUUCGCCCGUGGCCAACCACGGCAAGAGCGCACCCAGAGCUCCGCUUCCCACGGCCAAUGGUGCCGCUAGCCAAUGGUCACCUCGCUCGCGCACCCACCUUUCCCCGGCCUUAUCCUACCGCACACCGACCGAGCCGCCGUACCCAAUCCUAUGCUUGGCGCGACCAGACGCACGCUCGACCUCACCAAUCCUUCCACCCAGCGAAACCACGCUUGCCUGACGCUAUCUCCUUUUCCCAAUGCUUGGAGGAUCCUGCCCCUGGAGCUCCACUUCUCCGGCCAAUGGAGGCACCGCCCAAUCGCCGCCGUAACACAACACUUCCUUCUUCCCUGAUCUUAUCCUCUCGUCCGCUUGAGCUCGCUUCCUUCCUCCGAGCACUUCCGCGUAGCUAGAAAAGGGGUACCGAAACCUCUUACCGGAGCCCCCCUGGCCAUCACUACUUUUGCUGCUCUACUACUCUGUUCUUAUCCACCGCACUCGCCCCCGCCUAAGCUCUCUAUGGAACUCCCCCUUUCCGCCCAACCCCGCACUUGGCCAACACCACCCACCACUUCGCCAUCCUCUCGCACAGCUCUAGAGCUUGCUUGUUGUCCGCGGGAAGCACCACCGCCGCUGGAGCACCGCCGAACCUCGCCGUCGCCCAAAGCUUACCGCCUUCCGCCGUUCCACUUCGGCUUGUUUUCUUCCCCGACCCAAGACCUGGUCCGUAGGACCGGAGGUAAGUUGCCGACCCUUGUCCGUCUCGCCCGUCCCUAUCCGUCUCGCCCGUCCCUUGUCCGUCUCGCCCGACCCUUGUCCGUCUCCCUCGACCCUAUCCGCCUCGCCCGAGUGCUGUCCGCCUCACCCGAGUGCUGUCCGCCUCGCCCGAGGGCUCGGCUGUAUCUUUUUCUUUUGACCGAGGGUAUCUGUGUAAAAAUUCCGGGGACUUCUCUGUGUUGAAUCUGAGGAUCCCGGUAUAGUCUUUCCUUAAAGUCUAAGGGUUAGAUCGCAAGUUUUUCCCAGUUCGACUCUUUUAACGUGUUCUAAAUCAACAGAAGCUUGGAAGUUGCACCUUAAAUCGUAGAAAAAUCAGUUUUAUACCAAAUCUCUUUUGUUGGAAUCCUUGUUCUGUCCAGUUUCUUGCAAAAUGAAGCAAUUUUGGGAGACGUACAUAAAAACAUUCGGAAGUAAAUAACUUACCUAAUGCAAUUGAACUGCCCUAAAUGCAACUUCCUUUCUACCGUAAUCCUUGCCUUGCAUCGUUUGGGUACAAACAUGAAUACAACUGACCUCUUGCAUGUGCAUGUCGUGUAGAAGCAAAUCUCACCGAUGGCACCUACGAGCUCCACCCUGCACCAGAGGAAGAACCUGCUGCGGAGCUUCAUCACCUGGAGGGCGAGCCCAAGCUAGACCAAGACCCCGUGGAACCGCUAACUUUUCCUGAAGGCAAGCCUUGGAGCAUGCUUCUAUGUUUUUAAAUUUAUGCAAGUUGUUGAUGCUUAUGAUUGUGCAUUUACGUUCGUAGGAGUUGAUUCAAACUAUAGAUGCAUGAACUUAGUACCUUGAUCUGAAUACUAGUUGCUAAGGUCGAGUAGCUGCAAUGCUUAAUAGGUCCCGGUAAAAGUCGAGUGAUUUCUUGUCACUCGCGAGUUAUAGGAGUUGACUGUUUUACUUACGCUACAACUAUAAGGACGAUGGGCAGGACAGGGCUUAUGUUCGAUACUUUGUGGUUUGCCCCGUCUGUCUAAAUGAAAUUGGACUUACGUCAAAACGUGUCGGCAUUCGUGAUCAAGUGUUUGAAAGUACUAAUCUCAUACCUAGUAUGGGAUGGGGAAGCCUAGUACCUGAUUGAACUAGGGUGUGGCUUAUACUCCUGCUGUCCUUGGAACGCUGUUCCCAUGGUGCAUCAUGUGGGUGCAAGUGCGGUCACAGUGCAGCAAUAGGCCGGGACUGUGGAGCAUUGCACGUCAAAGACAGUUUGGCCCUGACACGUGCCUAAGGGAUCGAUGGGGACGGUUGACAAAUGAAGCGACCCUUUGUGGUGCGUGGAUGUCAUGAGAUUAGGUUCACCAUGCAUGGUUAAUAACUUUGAAUCGAUUCGUUUGCCUCUCACAAUUUGGGAGUGCUUGAUCGCUAUUCUGCACUAAGUAAAGAUGGAACAUGAUGAUGAUAUUAAUCUUGAUGUUUAUUCUGUAAUUGUUUGGAAACUAUGCUUGCUUAGUUUAAGUUGCUAAUCUAGACUGGUUAAAGAACGUAGAACUUGAGCUAAAAUCUAGAAAGUAAGGACCGACUAUAUACGCUUUUGGCAAAACAAACCCCUCAGCUAAAAAGCCUUGCAUGUCUAGGUUCUGGUGAAAAUGGUUUUCACUCGACGAGUCAGUCUUGCUGAGUACUAGUUGCUCAGCCUAGUUGUGGCUUAACUUUUCAGGUGAUGUUACAAGUUUGGCUACUGGCACCACUUGGCCGACCCAGCUCCCGUCGGGCUGAACAGUCGAGUGGGAUCCCUCCUCGGACGGUGAGGGCAGGGAUUAUUGAUGUCAUGAUCGGCUUCGUCAUGAUAUCAUGUAUCGACAUUUAGCUUCCGCUUGUUUUAUCUCGUCUAGUCGAACCUUGCAAACUUGUUUGAAUUCCGAAAACUCUGAUGUAAUAAUUUGUUGAACUACAUUAAUGUGAUGGGAAUGUGGUAAUCUCUAUGCUACUCACCUUCGUGUGAGCAAUGCUUCUCGAUCCUGUGUAAGUGGUUUAUUGGAUGAAAUCCGACGGACGACCGAGUUGACUUGCUUAAAAUGCAUGAUCGCGUGUCAGGCGACUUAAGUGCAUUUUAGCCAAGUUAAUUUGGAUGGUUCCACCACAGUAAUACUAGUGGCUUCAAUAUUUUUCCAAUAAAUUGAGUUAUAUCACUGAUUUAAUCAGAAGGUUUCAUAUUUUUCUCAGCUCCAGAUUAAUUGUUAUGCAAAAAGAUGGAAAUACUCUUAGAUUUCCAUGGCAAAACUUAAACAGAUGAUUAAACUUCUGAGCUGGGCUCUAAAACAUUUUUCCUAGUUUCUACUGCUUGAAACAAACAUGUGAGAGUUGGUUUCAUAUUUUUAUGAUAUUUCUAUGAUUUGUUAUGAUUUAAAUGGCUUAAACAAGAAUUAAAACAUACCACAUUAAUUCCAACAGUGAUACAUGCCAAAAGUAUUUUUAUUAAAAACUAAUCUUUAUUCUGAGCCUAGCAAAAUUGGUUUGGCAUUUUUCUGAGUUUUCUACAAAUUUUGGUGAAUUUUUAAAGUUAAACACAAUUUCUGCCGAUUAAAACAUUUAAACCGAGGUAAACUUGUAGGGAUACGAGGUAGGCUACACUAGCGCAAAUCAAAAUUUUUACCGCGUAAUCCAGGAAAACUGCCAUAUAAGGAUCACGGGAUUACCACCUGACGCACUGAUGCGGAAGAUGUAGAUUCACGUCGAUGCAGCGAAGUCGAUCAGCGUAGUCGUACGUAGUCAAUCACGUCGACGUCCAGCAGCUCGUCCACGUGCAGCAAGAUCGCCCUCGUGCCACGGCUCGUCGUCGGCUCGUCGUGGCUCGUCGGUGGCUCGUCCAAGUGUUGUAGGCGCAGCACUUCCAAGGUAUCCACACGUGCAGGGAGGAAGCGUCGCAAGCUAGACUGCUAGGUCCGUGAGAUGCAAAGGUGAGAGCGUCGGAGGCGCAGCAGAUGUGUUUCGCCAAAACGGUGUCAACCCUAGGGCGCCCCACCCCUCUAUUUAUAGAGGUUCCUAACGGGCCUAUGGGUCCAAGGCCCAUCAGUACUUCUAAACCUAAUCCAACUCGGAUCACAUCCGAAUUGAGCUUCCAACCCCUUAAGUGUGACCCUAUGGGUUCGGAUACGUAUAGACAUGGCCCGAGUACUCCUACUUGGUCCGAGUACUCCUACUUGGCCCAAUAGUCGGUAGCGGCCUCUAGCAAGACAUGCCAACUCCUAUACGCACACGAAGAUCAUAUCAGAUGAACCAUCACAAUGUUAUAUACAUGCUAUUCCCUUUGCCUCAUGAUAUUUGGUCUAGCUUCAAGCCGACCGCUCUUUCUCGAUCCUAUGAUUCGGAAUCCCUUUGUAGGUUAACUCUUAACCGUACGUAGCAUGGCCAUGUAUUUUCGGAUCCGAUCACUCGAGGGGCCUAGAGUUAUCACUCUCAAUCAGAGAGGGGCAAAUCCCAUCUUGAUUGACCAAGUCUCAUAGCAUGCUUCUUGAUAAACUCGAAAGCUACCUUUAUAACUACCAUGUUACGGCGUAGCGUUUGAUAGCCCCUAAGUAAGUCGAUCCACAUCUUGAGUACAUGCAACAAUCUCAGGUCUAAGGACAAAGCGUAUAUGUUGUGUAAAGAGAGAACUACUUCUCUUGUUGGGUCAGUCCUAGCACAUGUCUCCACAUGUGCCCACAUUAUUAAUUCAACAUCUCCAUGUCCAUGACUUGUGAAACAUAGUCAUCAACUAAUACAUGUGCUAGUCUAAUAUUCAUGUGUGUCCUCACAUGAACUCCGACUAGGGACAACUUUAGAAUAACCAUACAAGUAAAGAGUUUCACAUACAAUUCACAUAAUUGCAAAUCAAUUCAAGUAGCCUUUAAUGGAUAUUCAAGGAACACAAUAUAAAUCAUGGAUACAAAUGGAAUAUCAUCAUCUCUAUGAUUGCCUCUAGGGCAUACCUCCAACAGUCUCCCACUUGCACUAGAGUCAAUCUAGAAGGUACCUAAUACCCAUGGCUCUUACAUGCGCAUCAUGCUUAGCCUGCGAAAGUGGUUUUGUCAACGGAUCAGAAAUGUUCAGAUCCGUGUGUAUUUUGCAUAUGUUGAUCUCACCCCGGUUAACGAAGUCUCGAAUGAGAUGAAAUCGCCGCAUUACGUGUUUGUUUUUCUGGUGGUUCCUUGGCUCCUUUGCUUGCGCAAUUGCCCCAUUGUCAUCACAGUAGAGAUUCAAUGGGCUGGACGCAUUCGGGAACACACCAAGCUCAAUGAGAAAAUUCCUUAUCCAAACACCCUCCUUCGCGGCUUCUGAAGCCAUGAUGUACUCAGCUUCUGUCGUAAAAUCGGCUACCGUCUUAUGCUUGGAACUCUUCCAACUAACAGCACCACCAUUUAGCGUGAACACAAAUCCUGAUUGUGACUUUGAAUCAUCUCUGUCGGUUUGGAAACUAACAUCGGUGUAACCUGUUACAACGAGCUCCUCCUCACCUCCAUAGACGAGGAGCAUAUCUUUAGUCCUUCUCAAGUACUUAAGAAUGUUUUUCACCGCUGUCCAGUGACUCUCACCUGGAUCAGACUGGUGUCUGCUUAUCAUACUUAGCGCACAUGAAACAUCUGGGCGAGUACUUAUCAUUGCAUACAUGAUAGAUCCAAUAGCCGAGGCAUAUGGCACUCUACUCAUGCGAUCCCGCUCAUCAGCAGUCGAAGGACACUGAGUCUUGCUGAGAUGUAUGCCAUGUGACAUAGGCAAGAACUCUUUCUUUGCCUCUUCCAUGCUGAACCGCUUCAACACUUUGUCAAUGUAAGUAGCUUAAUCCUAUAAGCCUUCUCGAUCUAUCUCUAUAGAUCUUAAUGCCCAGAAUAUAUGCCGCUUCCCCCAAGUCCUUCAUCGAAAAACUAUUUUUCAGUGAAGUCUUUACAGACUCAAGCAUAGGAAUAUUAUUUCCAAUCAGUAAUAUGUCAUCCACAUAUAAGAUUAGAAAUACUAUAGAGCUCCCACUAACCUUCUUGUAAACACAAGACUCUUCUUCGUUCUUGGUGAAGUCAAACCCUUUGACCACUUCAUCAAAACGAAUGUUCCAACUCCUAGAUGCUUGCUUCAAUCCAUAGAUGGAUCUCUGAAGCUUGCAUACCUUUCCAGCAUUUUUCGGAUCGACAAAACCCUCGGGCUGUAUCAUAUACACGUCCUCAGCUAGGUUUCCAUUCAGGAAAGCUGUUUUGACAUCCAUCUGCCAUAUCUCAUAAUCGAAAUAUGCAGCUAUAGCUAGAAUAAUCCGAAUGGACUUAAGCAUCACUACGAGCGAUAAGGUGUCAUAGUAGUCAACUCCUUGAACUUGUCGAAAACCUUUUGCGACAAGUCGUGCUUUAUAGAUGUGAAUAUUUCCAUCCAUGUCAUUUUUCUUCUUAUAGAUCCACUUGCACUCUAUGGCUUUGACACCAUCAGGCGGGUCAACCAAGUUCCAAACUUGAUUGUCUCCCAUGGCCUCUAUUUCGGAUUGCAUGGCACUCUGCCAUUUUUCGGAGUCUGGGUCCAUCAUUGCUUCAGCAUAUGUCGCAGGCUCAUCAUUGUCCAACAAUAAUAUUUCCCGCAUUUCGCAGAGCCUUGCCGACCUUCGUGGUUGUGGUGGUGCCAUGGGUAUCUCAACUUGUUCUGCUACAUUAGCAUCACUCAUUGAUUCUUGCACGAUCGGCUCAUCUUGAACUUUUUCAAGAUGCACUAUCUUUCCACUCUUUUCUCCUUUGAGAAACUCUUUCUCUAGGAAAACCCCGUUCCGAGCGACAAACACUUUGCCCUCUGACCGGUUGUAGAAAUAAUAUCCAAAAGUUUCCUUUGGAUAUCCCACGAAAAUGCACUUAUCUGACUUGGGUGUGAUCUUGUCCGACUGAAGUCGCUUGACAAACACUUCACAUCCCCAAAUCUUUAGAUAAGACAAACUGGGAACUUUUCCAGUCCACAUCUCAUAUGGUGUCUUAACUACGGAUUUAGAUGGUACCCUGUUAAGUGUGAAAGCUACUGUUUCUAGAGCAUAUCCCCAAAAUGACAACGGUAUGUCCGACUGGCUCAUCAUUGAUCGAACCAUGUCUAACAAAGUUCGAUUACGUCACUCGGAUAGACCGUUUCUCUGAGGUGUUCCAGGCGGCGUAAGUUGUGGAACAAUUCCGCAACUCUUUAGAUGAUUGCUAAACUCGUGGAUCAAAUACUCGCCUCCACGAUCAGAUCGUAAGGCCUUAAUUUUCUUGCCACGCUGAUUUUCAACUUCAUUCUGAAAUUCCUUUAACUUUUCACAGGUUUCAGACUUGUACCUCAUCAAGUAGAUAUAGCCAUAUCUACUAAAAUCAUCAGUGAAAGUUAUGAAGUAUUGGAAUCCUCCUCUAGCCGUCGUGCUCAUUGGUCCACAUACAUCGCUAUGUACGAGUUCCAACAAGUCUGCUGCUCUCUCAGGAAAACCUGUGAAAGGCAUCUUGGUCAUCUUGCCUAGCAAGCAAGCCUCACAUGUCUCGUAUGAUUCAAAAUCAAACGAAGUUAGAAGUCCAUCAGAAUGGAGCUUCUUCAUGCAUUUUUCACUUAUAUGCCCCAGAUGACAAUGCCACAAGUAGGUAGGACUCAAAUCAUUAGGUCAAGGCCUUUUAGCACUUACGUUACAGACAGGUGAACCAUCAAGAUUUAAAACAAACAAUCCAUUCACAAUGGGUGCAAAAGCCAUAAACAUAUCAUUCUUAGAGAUCACACAACCAUUGUUUUCACUCGCAAAUGAAUAACCAUCCUUCAUCAAGCAUGAAGGAGACAAAAUAUUUUGACUUAAACUAGGAACGAAAUAACAAUUAUUCAACUCCAUAAUAAAUCCUGACGGGAGGUGGAGUUGCAUUGUCCCGACGGUCAAAGCAGCAACUCUUGCAUUAUUGCCCAUGCGGAAAUCAACUUCUCCUCUUUCCACGCUUCUACUUCUUAUCAUUCCCUACAUCAAAUUGCAAAUAUGAGCAACCGAUCCGGUAUCAAAUACCCAAGAAUUAAUAAUUGUAUCAGCGAGAAAUAUGUUGUGUGUAACAUUAAUAACAAGCGUACCUGAGGUGGAAGUAGUCUUACUUCCGCCAUUCUUCAACGAAGCUAGGUACUGCUUGCAAUUUCUCUUCAGUGACCAAGUUCAUGACAGUAAAAGCACACUUUGUCUGGAGCAGGUCCAGGUCCAGCUUUAACCUUGGGCGCUGGGUUUGGCUUGGACGUUCCAGCCUUGCCCUUCUUCUUCCAAGAAUCGCCCUUCUUCUUAAGGCUAGGCUUGUUCUGUAUAGCCAUCACAUGGCUGCUACUAGCCCUUUUGUUGAUGUCAGCCUCUUCUAUUUUAAGCAUACCACACAGCUCAUUCAGACCCUUCUCCAUCCCAUGCAUAUGCUAGUUCGAGAUGAAGUUCCCAAAGCUAGGCGGAAGAGACGAAAGAAUGAAAUCAGUGGCCAACUCUUGGCAUAGUGGGAAGCCCAGCUUCUCCAACCGUUGAGUGUAACCAACCAUCUUGAUUACGUGUGGUCCUAUUGCUGUGCCUUCUGCUAGCUUGCUCUCCACAAAGGCCUUAGACACAUUGAACCUUUCAGUCCUGGCCUGUGUUUGGAACAUGUCUCUAAGCGCCAUGAUCAUAUUAUGCACCUCAUGGUUUGUUUCGAACUGCAUUUGCAGCUCGGGUUCCAUGCAAGCAAGCAUAAGGCAGCUUACUUCGAGGUUAGCAUCACAUGCUUUCUUGUAAGAAUUCUUAGCAGCAGCAGGUGCAUCAUCAGCAGGUUCUUCUGGUAGUGGGUUGUUUAGAACAACUUCCUUUUCCUUAGCCCUGAGAACAAUUCUCAGGUUACGGAUCCAAUCCGAGUAGUUUGUUCCAUUCAACAUAUCCUUCUCAAGGACCGAACGCAAAGCAAACGGUGUAGUGCUGCUAGGUGCCAUUUAAUCUACAACAAAAGUAAUGCAAAAGACACUAAGACAAACGUAUCCAUGAUAGAGCAAAUCACAUUAAACUAUUUUAACAAAAUCUACUCCCACUAAAAUCAAUAUCCCUCUACUGAUACUUAGUGAUUCAGGAUCCACAACUAACAAGUCUACUAGUGAGCUUUAGCAUCACCACUAGCAAACAAGGUAGAUCGGUAAGCAACUUCUUGCUAAUCAUAUCACAUACGACUCCUGUUGUUGGGUGACAUCUCCAUGGUGAGGGAUCGUUCUACCAAUUGUACAAGACAUGGGACAAUGCAAGUUUUAGUUGGGAGGGCAUACUAACUUAAACUUUGUGAGGGAUCGUUCUACUUCUAACAUCACAGCAUGCAGAAAGUAAAACAUAAACAGAAUACCAUUCACACAGUUGUGACACAGUAUGACCCAUUUUCUUAUGGUGAUCUCCAUCUCCACAGAACUUGUUCACCAUGGUGAUCUCCAUCUCCAUGUUUCAUGUGCGCCAUCCUUCUAGUGAUGAGUCCUCCAAGAACUAGAACAUGCUAUUACGCCUAAUAGCUAGUAAAGAAGCUAGUAAUGAAGAUUACAUAGUUGCUUGGAUCAUCACAGAUUGGUACGCAGACCAUUAAAUACAUUAAAGUGACAACACAUAUGGCUCCAGCCGUGUUGCCGUACACACGACACGCAGAUCACGAAUGAGUUACACACAUGCAUCAUAUACACAAAGGGCCAUACUGAUCACAAGAUACAUACAUCCUGCAAAACAGAGUUAGGCGUUCUAACGUUCCAAACUUCGAAGGCCCAAAACUCCAUAUUGCAAGCCAAAUUUGGAAAAUCUAAUUUUUUCGAAAACGCCAAAGCCGUUGAACUUCAUGUGUAACUUUUUCUAUAGAUCAAUUUUUAUAUAAAAUUCGCCCCGAUCCGAGAUCGUACCGAAAAGUUAUGGCUGAUUUACCGAAGCACACGCACACGGCAAAAUCCCGACCCGGUAGUAGAUCCAAUCUACUAUAGCACAUCUCAUGCGCCUGGCGUAUGAACCUAGAUUUCAUUUCGACCAAUCACAUUGAUCUUCGCUCGCUGCAACUGGUAUUACGUGUAUCACCGAUGGCGGAAAUCCGACCGGCAGGAGUAUGUCGUUACACAACCAUUGCAGCAAGAACACGAAACCAGGACAUAGAUCAAACUGAAAACUCGCAUAUCUCCAUAUGCACACAUCCGGAAUCCAAAACAAAGCAGCUAAGGCUCUGAUACCACUGUAGGGAUACGAGGUAGGCUACACUAGCGCAAAUCAAAAUUUCUACCGCGUAAUCCAGGAAAAUUGCCCACGUUAUUAGUUCAACAUCUCCAUGUUCAUGACUUGUGAAAUAUAGUCAUCAACUAAUACAUGUGCUAGUCUAAUAUUCAUGUGUGUCCUCACAUGAACUCCGACUAGGGACAACUUUAGAAUAACCAUACAAGUAAAGAGUUUCACAUACAAUUCACAUAAUUGCAAAUCAAUUCAAGGAGCCUUUAAUGGAUAUUCAAGGAACACAAUAUAAAUCAUGGAUACAAAUGGAAUAUCAUCAUCUCUAUGAUUGCCUCUAGGGCAUACCUCCAACAAAACUUGCGGACUAACCCCUAGGUCUAGGGUUUAAUCGUGUAAAGGUCCCGGGUUUUAACACUAAAGCCCCUGGUUCAUCUUUCCCAAAAACAAUUGGGUCCUCAGGCGCAAGGGCGGCGGCGGCGGGUAAAAUCCCGGCGAUGCGCCGGCGACCUUGGGACGGUGAGUGGCCGGGAGGGCUUACGGGCUCACCCUGGUCCGGUUUGAAGCGGUUGGGGGUGACGGGGAGGCUUGGCCGGGGCAGAACGGUGAAAGGCAGGAAGCUUUGGGUGGCGGCGAGGUCCGGCGGUGUUCCGGCUGUUGGGAUACGAGGUAGGCUACGCUAGCGCAAAACAAAAUUUUUCUACUACGUAAACCAGGAAAACUGCCGUAUAUGGAUCAUGGGAUUACCACUCGACGCACUGGUGCGGAAGAUGUAGAAUCGCGUCAGGGCAGCGAAGUCGACCAGCAUAGUCGGACACGUAGUCGAUCACGUCGACGUCAAGUAGCUCCUAAGCAGCUCGUCCACAUGCAGCAAGGUCGUCCUCGUGCCGCGGCUCGUCGGCAGCUCGUCGUCGGCUCGUCGUGGCUCAUCGGCGGCUCGUCGUGGCUCAUCGGCGGCUCGUUGUGGCUCGUCCAAGUGCUGUAGGUGCAACACCUCCAAGAUAUCUACACGUGCAGGGAGGAAGUGUCGUAAGCUGGACUGCUAGGUCCGCGAGUUGCAACAAGGUGAGGGCGUGGGAGGCACGGCAGAUGUGUUUUCGACCAAAGGAUGAAACCCUAGGGCACCCCACCCCUCUAUUUAUAGAGGUUCCUGACAGGUCUCUUGGUUCGAGGCCCAUUAGUACUUCUAAACCUAAUCCAGCUCGGAUCAUAUCCAAAUUGGGCUUCCAGCCCCUUAAGUGUGUGACCCUAUGGGUUCGGAUACAUGUAGACAUGGCCCGAGUACUCCUACUCGACCCAAUAGUCGGUAGAAGCCUCUAGCAAGACGUGCCAACUCCUAUACGAACACGAAGAUCAUAUCAGAUGAAUCGUUACAACAUCAUGUACAUGCUAUUCCCUUUGCCUCGCGAUAUUUGGUCUAGCUUCAAGCCGACCGCUCUUUCUCGAUCCUGUGAUUCGGAAUCCCUUUGUAGGUUAACUCUUAACCAUAUGUAGCAUGGCCAUGCAUUUCCGGAUCCGAUCACUCGAGGGGCCCAGAGAUAUCACUCUCAAUAAGAGAGGGGCAAAUCCCAUCUUGAUUGACCAUGCCUCACAGCAUGCUUCUUGACAAACCCAAAAGCUACCUUUUUAAGUACCCUAUUACAAUGUAGCGUUUGAUAGCCCGUAAGUAAGUCGAUCCACAUCUUGAGUACAUGCGACAAUCUGAGGUCUAAGGACAAAGUGUACAUAUUGUGUAAAGAGAGAACUACAUCUCAUGUUGGAUCAGUCCUAGCACAGGUCUCUACAUAUGCCUACAUUAUUAGUUUGACAUCUCCAUGUUCAUGACUUGUGAAACAUAGUCAUCAACUAAUACAUGUACUAGUCUAAUAUUCAUGUGUGUCCACACAUUAACUCCAACUAGGGACAACUUUUAGAAUAACCAUACAAGUAAAGAGUUCCACAUACAAUUCACAUAAUUGCAGAUUAAUUCAAGUAGCAUUUAAUGAAUAUUCAAUGAACACAAUAUACAAAUCAUGGAUACAAUCAGAUACCAUCAUCUCUAUGAUUGCCUCUAGGGCAUACCUCCAACACCGGUGACGGUGGUGCUUCUCGCGGGCAACAAGCAAGCUCUAGAGCUGCGCGAGAGGUUGGUGAAGCGGCUGGUGGUGUUGGCAAGGUGCGGGGUCGGGCGGAAGGGGGAGCUCCACGGAGAGCUCAGGCGGUGGCACGGGGAGUGGAAACAGGGAAGGCGCGGCGAGGUUCGGGCGAGCGGGGAAGGGGGCACCGGCGGUGCUGGGUUCCUAUUUAUAGGGCCAGGGCAGAGUGGCGAAUGAGGUAGGGUUGUGGCUCUGGCAGGCGAGACUAGAGGGAAGCCGAGCGUUGCUGUGGUCAUUAAUGGCGACAGCGCCAUAGGUGGACAGGCGAAAGGGAAGGAGCACGACAGGCGAGGUGACAUUGUGAGCGACGCGAAGCAAGCGUGCGUGGGGCAAGCGGCUCUACUGGGGCACGCUACUGGCGAGGCGGGGGAGGAGCUGUCAUGGCCUACGCGGUGGUUGGUGGAGGCGGCAGCAUUGCGGGGCGUGCGCAUGGGCAGCAUGACCGGGGUUUGACGGGAGGGCUGGAAGGCAUUGGGGCGCGCGGUCGGAGAUCCGGGUGGGGCGGAUGCGCGUGCGAGCAGAGGCGGCACUGGCGCGGCAGCAGCCUGCUUCGGCUGCGGAGUGGCCGGGGCAGCGGCGGAGCUACGGGGAGCGCGCCUGGCACGGUUGGCGAGGCCUCGGGUGAGAUGAGAUGGGGCGGAGGGGCUGCAGGGCGUCACUGCUCGCGAGUGGGGGAACGGGCACGUCGAUCCAUCUUAUUGCGACCGGCGACUGGGCAAGGCGGCGCUUGCCGGUGAGGCCACGCCACGCGGUGGCGGCGCUCGGGAGCGCGAUGCAUGCGCGCUCGGGCGCGCUCUGGCCGACGGAUGCGCGGGAUCUUUUGCCAGGCCCGUCUUCGAGCCUCUUGAUCUGCCGAUUUUCAAACCGCACCACGUUGACCCCCUUUACAGAAGUUGUAGUACAUAGACCAAAGUCCAACUUUUGUAAUUUGACCGAGUUCAAAAUCGUGGUGAAUUUGGAGAUUCAAAACUUCAAAGUUUGGAGGAACACUGGUUUUCCGGACUUUGGCGAAAAACGGCAGCUUUGACUGGUUUUCAGGGUUCUGGGCUGACUUGAGCUACACUUUUGGAAAGCUUCGGAGGUGAAUUGGACCAAGGUCCAAUUAACAAAGUUGUUGUAGAAACUCAGUUCUCAAACUCUUAUAAAGGGAGUUUCCAUUGUUCUAUUCAACUUUUAAGAGAUAAAGCCACCCUAAAGUGCCAGGUUGGGCUGAUCUCCAGACUUAGCCGGAAUUGCUAAAGGAGGCUGAGUUGACCAAACUAACUGACUUUGACCUAGAUUUCGAAGGUCUUUGGGGUAGAUUUGAAACUUUCUCCUUAAAGCAAAGUUGUUAAGGUCCCGAAGCUCUAAAACUUUGGUAUAGGUCUCAGCUUAAGUUCAUAUUAGAAAUUUCGAAAUAUAGAGCCCCAAAGUUGGGACCUUGCUUGUUUUAAAACAAAACAACAUAGAUUGGUAUUUCGGGUUUUUGGAGGGCUUCUGCUCAGAUCCAAGCAAGACACCAAAAAUAAAAAUUGUUAGGAAAAGUGAGUUCUACAACUCUUAGUUGGACAGAUUUUUAAGUUCUUAAGCAAAAAUUGGAGCUACGGUUUGGGAAGCAUUUUAACCUUGUGAGGGGCAAAAGGGUACUUUCACUUGCCUUCUUGUUGCCAAAGCUCUUCUUUAAGCACUAAUGACUCGUUUUAAGAUUAAAACAUAGCUUAUUUAAUCUAGGUUGUUACAGACAUGUAGUAGAAAACAAAAGCAUAGUUCCUAGUUUUCCUUGUAAAGUCUUCCAAAAAUGACUAAUAAAUUUAGCAUCACGAUCAGAAACAACUGUGUUGGGCAUACCAUGCAAAUGAAUAAUUUCUCGAAAGAACAAAUUAGCAAUAAGAGUAGCAUCAUCAGUUUUAUGAUAUGGUAUAAAAUAUGCCAUUAUAGAAAAUCUAUCAACAACCACAAACACACUAUCACAUCCCUUCCUAGUCCUUAGCAAUCCCAACACAAAAUGCAUAGAAAUAUCUUCCCAAGGAGCGCUAGGAACAGGUAGAGGCAAAUACAAAUAGUGUCGAUUUAACCGUGACUUAGCCUUUUGACAUGUCAUGCAACGAGCAACAAAUCUCUCCACAUCUCUUCUCAUCUUUGGUCAAAAGAAAUGACCAGCAAGUAUGUCCUUCGUUUUCUUGACUCCAAAAUACCCCAUCAAGCCACCUCCAUGUGGUUCCUGCAGCAACAACAAACGAACGGAGCUAGCUGGAAUGAAUAGCUUAUUAGCUCUAAAAUCAAACCCAUCACUAACAAAGAAUUUGUUCCAUCUUUUCCCAUCUUUACAAUGCACCAGCACAUCUUUAAAAUUAGCAUCAUGAACAUAUAGUUCUUUAAUUGUUUCUAAUCCAGAGAUUUUAUAAUCAAGUUGAUUCAGCAAGGUAUAUCUCCUAGACAAAGCAUCAGCAAUAAUACUCUCUUUUCCUUUCUUGUGCUUAAUAACAUAAGGAGAAGAUUCAAUAAAUUCAACCCACUUAGCAUGUCUACAGUUCAAUUUUUCUUAACUACGAAUAUGCUUCAAAAAUUCAUGAUCAGAAUGAAUAACAAAUUCUUUGGGCCACAAGUAAUGCCGCCAUGUUUCUAAUGUGUGAACUAGAGCAUACAAUUCUUUAUCAUAAGUAGAAUAAUUCAGAAUAGGCCCACUCAAUUUUUCACUAAAAUACGCAACAGGUUUACCCUCUUGUAACAAAACACCACCCAAUCUAAUUCCACUAGCAUCACAUUCAAGCUCAAAAGUCUUAUUAAAAUCAAAAAGUUGGAGGAGGGGUGCAUGUGUCAACUUAUCUUUCAGCAUGUUGAAGGAGUUCUCUUGUACUUUGCCCCAACUAAAAGGCACUCCCUUCUUCGUAAGUCAUUCAAAGGUGCAGCAAUGGUGCUGAAGUCCUUCACAAAACAGCGAUAGAAACCAGCAAGUACUAGGAAACUCCGCACCUAUGUAGUAGUCUUUGGUACAGGCCAUCCCUGUAUAGCAUCUACCUUGGCUUGAUCAACCUCAAGUCACUGUGGACUCACAACAUUGGUAAGAAAAGGUACACAAUCGGUGCAAAAGGUGAAAUUCUCAAGGUUACCAAAUAAAUGUGCAUCUCGUAAAGCAUUAAAAACAACACGUAAGUGAUCAAGAUGUUCAUCCAUAGAUUUGUUGUAAAUCAAUAUAUCAUCAAAAUAGACUCCAACAAAUUUUCUAAUGAAAGUACGCAAAACCUUAUUCAUUAAUCUCAUGAAAUUAUUAGGUGCAUUAGUUAACCCAAAAAGCAUGACUAACCAGUCAUAUAAACCAAAUUUAGUUUUGAAAGCAGUUUUCCAUUCAUCUCCCAAUUUUAUACGAAUUUGGUGGUACCUACUACGCAAAUCAACUUUGAAAAAACAAAACAACACCACUCAAUUCAUCAAGCAUAUCAUCCAAACGUGGAAUAGGGUGUCGAUAUCGAAUGGUGAUAUUAUUAAUAGCUCUACAAUCAACACAUACGCCAUGUUCCAUCUUUCUUAGGCACUAAAAUAACCGGAACAAUACAAGGGCUAAGAGAGUCAUGUACAUAACUUUUGUCAAGUAGUUCUUUCACUUGUCGCUGAAUUUUUUUCAUUUCUUCCGAAUUUGUCCUGUAUGGUGCACGGUUGGCAAAGAUGCACCAGGAAUAAGAUCAAUUUGGUGCUCAAUACCUCGUAUUGGUGGCAGCCCCACUGGUAUCUCACUUGGAAAAAUAUCAGAAUACUCCUACAAAAUGUUAGCAACAUCAAGGGGCAAAGAAUGUUGCAUAUCAUGAAUUGAAAUUAAAGCAUCCUUUCACACCAAAGCAUAGGCAACAGAAGUGGAAGCAACCAGUAAUAUCAGAUUUAGUAGCAAGCAAGUAAUGUCCUUUCAAUCUUAUCUCAUCUUUCUUACUACUAACAGAUUUGGCAUUUUUAUCGCUCUCAAUUUUAAUUUUUGUAGCUUUAGCAACAUCAUCACGCACAAUAGCUUCAGGAGACAUAGGAACCAAAAUAAUUUUCUUAUCAUGGUGUAUGAUGGAAUAUUGAUUUGAUCUACCAUGAUGCAUACAAUUCGUAUCAAAUUGCCAUGGUCUACCUAACAGAAUAUUUCAAGCUUCCAUAGGCACAACAUCAUAUUCAACAACAUCAUGAUAUGAUCCAAUAGCAAAAUUAAUUCGCACCAGUCUAGUUUCCUUAACCUUACCACUUUUAGUACCCUAUCUCAGUUGUUACAACUUAUUUAACAGAUCACGUGCAUAGUAAGAAGGAACAAAUCUAGCCCGCAUGACCUAUUUCAAAAGCAUCCCAAGUUUGUGGCAUGUUAUUAUGAUUUUUCUUGGCAUCUUCUAUCAACCAAAUAGAAGCAAAAGCAGUAAACUAACUAGUAGCAGCCCUAACACAUGUAUUUUAAGGAAAUUCAUGACAUGCAAACUUUUGAUCAACAAUAAUUUCCCAAGCAAUGUAUGCAUUAGGAUCAUAUUUACCAUCAAAAGGAGGUAUCUUAAAUUUUAUCUUACUAAAAGCAUCAUCAUUAUUAUGUACCUCGCGUCGUCGAUAACCACCCAUACCUCUACGAUUAUUACAUAGCUGUCGGCGAUCAUGAGCGUCUUGGUCAUCUUAUUCAGUAUCAGCAUCCCAAUUGUUCUGGACACGCUCAUCCUUCUUGUUAUCUCCAUCAUGCCCAUUAGUAGUUUUGGCAUGCAUCUCAUCAAAGCACCUCAAAAUAGUAGCAAGACUUUUGUCAAUACGAGCAACCGAUGUCUCCAACCUUGUAAGCUUUGUGUUGGUGGCAAGCUGUGUGGCCUCCAACUACCCAGUCUUGUCAUUCGUCACCUGCAAAUCAUCAUAAAGCCCUUCUGUGUACAGCUUCACCUGUCUUUCAAAAUGUUGUAUGAUGCUCUUGGUGCGAGGCGAAUGUUGCAUACUGCACCAAUCUUGGAACCUAUCAUGGUUAAAAGAAUAGUGGAAACAAGAAAACAGGUGAUGAAAUAAAAGCCCUACAGCUAUUAGGAUGUAGCUACUGCAAGGCACUCACUCUCAACCUGUUUUACAAGCUCUUACCAAUUCUUACCUUGCUCAACAAGAGGGGACAGCAACCAACAAGUCUGCAACCGUGGAACGAAGUGUAUCGAUACUGCAGCAACAAAACCUGUCAAGCUGUAGUCAAAAUAUGUGGAGCUGUAGGUGGGCUGAAGCAAGGAAGUACUAGCACCACGUUAGUUACUAAAGCAAUCUGAAUAAUUGUUGAACGGUGGUACUGUGCUAGUCCUAGCCUAGACCGUGCUAGAGGUGCGAGCCUGGACACAAAAGAAAUCACAAUACACCAUCGGGAAACAAUAGAGAAGCACAAUGAAAACCCCUUUUCUUCCUAUUUUCUUUCAUUCUUUUCUUUUUCUUUCUUUUCUAUUUUUUUCCUAUUUUUUCAGGGGAUCCUCAAAACUGAUUAUAUAAACAAAAAGACUUCACAAGAGUCACACACCACACAAGCUUUCUCUCUCUCUCUCUCUCUCUCUCUCUCUCUCUCUCUCGCGCGCGCGCGCGCUGGAGUAAGCCGAGCCAAAAUGUAUAUGCACAAUGUGGAGGAGUCGAGUAUAGGUAUGGACUGUGCUGCCUUUCUGGAACACUUCAAUAUAUGUAGCACAAGUGCAAACAACAACAAUAUUUGGUAACUUGGCGCAGCAACCAAUUCCAGCUCAAAACCGAUUCCAACUCGGUCUUUAACAAGAUUAGGACUGCUAAUAUGGAUAUGAAGAACUGCUGUGUGAUUAAUAUGGAUAUGAAGAACAGCAGGCAACACGGCCAAACAACCAACUCGUACUUGAGCUGCUAACUGAUUCCAACUCAGUCUUUAACAAGAUCAGGACUCGAUCUCAACCAACCCUAGCACAAGGACGUGCACGGUUAGCCGAGUCCACGUCGGACUUGAACUCCAAACUGCACUCAGAUUCGGCCAACAGAGAAAUCAAAAGGUAGCACAUGGCUGUGACUAGAACGUGAUAAGAACUCGAAACUCUAAAGGACUAAAACUAAGACCAGCAACUUGACACAACCGAUGCAACCGAAAACUCAACAAGCCCUAACUAAGCAGUGCUAGCAAAGGCUCAAAGGGUUUAUAAGAUUGCAGGUAAACUAAUCUAUUGUUUUUUUUGCUUUUUCUGGACUAUAGGAAAAUGAAAACAGCGAAGGAUUGGAAGUCUCUCACUGAUAAACCUUGCUCUGAUUACUAGCUGAUAGGUACCCGCUAGGGUUGAUUCCCGAUCUUUCGAUGAGAGGACGUGGGAUAGUUCGAUUGGUGGAUGUCCUCAUCAUGUCCCUCCCUGUCAACUGAAGAAAAAGAAACAAAAUUUGCAGAGAAAGACGAUGUUUGUGAUUAGAGUUGCAAACACGGUUCCAUGUGUAUAGUUACUUAUUUUCAUUGUGUAACAGCUCUAAUCUUUAUUAAGAUAAGCAUGCCAUCAUAUGCAUCAUUAAGCAUUAAUCAAGGUUUAGUUUAUAUUUAAAACUUCCUUGUUGUGGCCUCAAUUUUUGGCCUACAGAUGGUCCGCCCUUGGUGACCGAAUAGUCUGCCAUUCAACCACAUCGCCAACCAAGCCUCUGCACAACUUUUCAACAUGUGCUAAUUUUGUACUGUAGAUGAUCCACCCCUGAGGUGCGGAUGGUCCGCCAUUCAAACUCAAAAACCAUAUCGAAUUUGUCUAGUUUUGCCAAAAGGAUCCGCAUUUGACCGGCGGACAGUCCGCCCAACGGUGCCACCGUUAAGUUGUUGCAAGUGAACUGCAACCGGGGGCUGUUUUUGGGUACUUCUUCCCCAUGGACGGAGGUGCAGUGGAAAGGGAAUAGAUGGCCAUGGCUUUAGGAAGGGCGCUAUUGGUAUAUAGUGUUAACCUUCUUAUUUUGAGUUGUAUCGUAUGAUGAGCGUGAUGAUAGAACCUUCCGCUGCAAACUCUAUGAACUUGUUAUAUAUGUGAACUUGAACCUCUUUAUGUAAUGUGAUGGACUAUGUAUGGAUUCCUGUAUGCUGAUGAUGUUAUAUUGUUGUGCUUGUGAGGUGUGUAUAAAUCUUUGGCAAUGCUCAUGACAAAUCUCAAGGAUGAUUGGAGUUAUUCUUAUUUAGUUGAGUUGAUCAAAAGAUGAUGACUUGAUUAAAUGGGUGUAACUUGCAGGUUCCUCACACAUUGUGUCAUUAAUUGUUUCUUCUCUAUAUAGUUACUUGUGAAUUGUGAUAGAAGACAUGCAAUGUCAACUGGAGUGAAUCUUUUGGUGGAUGCAUGACUGUGAAAGGGUUGCUAGAUAUUGGCAUGUAUAUAAAAAAAUACUCUGAUGUGUAGAGGGAAUAAUAGAUAGUUUGUAUGAUGCUCCUCUCUUUGCUACAAUAAUAUGAUCAAAAUGUUUUUUUACUUGUAAGCAUAUUUUGAAAAUUUUACUUGAUCUUGAGGAAUAUAUAGGCAAUGCAUUGUGAAGGGACCGUGACACCCUAAGAGGGGGAUGAAUUGGGUGUUCUUAAAAUCUAAGGCUCCAAGCACAUAUAAAAACCUAUUUCAAUUUCGAUCUAGAUGUGCACUAGGUUUUUCUAUGUGUUUCUAUCUCUACCGUAAAAGAGUUUUGCACCCUAAGUUACAAUCCUAUGAACUACACAUGGAAAUUUUAGGAAAGGUAAACGUGGAAAGUAAGUGCAAUAAGAAAUGCGGAAGGUAAAUGAGGUAGAGAAGGCAAACUCCCGGCGUGGCGACAUGGUGAUUUUUACCGAGGUAUCAUAAAGCAAAGUUUUCCACUAGUCCUCGUUGUUGGAGCCCCUCUCAAAGGGAAUGUCCGCACAAGGGCAUAAACUCCCCGAUCAAGUAACUUCAUAGGAUAGCCGGUGGGCCUUCCCCACACGCAAGUGGGUUGCCACCUAGCCUCUCCCGGAUGCUCCUUGCCUUUCUUCACUUGGUAGAGCUUCGGCGAAAUGCCGAGAGCCUCUCCUCCCUCUCACAAGCACCGGCGCCCACUCCACAAAUGCAGUUGGAGGGUCUCGCAAGCUUACAAGCCCCAGAUUUACAACUCUUGGUGCGCGCAAGCCCCAAAACAAAGGAGGUGUGCAAACCUCACCUAACUCUAGGUUAAACCCUAAAGCAAUGCGCUAAAAGGCCUAAACUAGCACUAACCAAGACCUAAGUCUUAUGCUAAUUGCCUUAAUCUUCUCUUUAGCACUUUGGUGGAUAGAGCACUUGUGUGUAUGUGAGAACCAAGCCUAUAGCUUCUCCAAGCUCUAACACCCCUCAAAUACUUGGAUAAUGGAAUAUAUAUAGCCCCAACUCCAAGAACUAGCCAUUACAUAGCCAUUGUAACUUUCUGCGUACCACCGACUCAUUCAAUGCCUUGAUCAAUGUACCCACCGUAUGAAUCGGUAAGGCCCAAAUUAUACUCCAAAACUUACAGAGCUGAUUUUGAGCUGAUGCUGAGCCGAGCCGACAAUCACCGACUGAUUCGGUGAUGGUUACUGUAGCCACCAUAUGAAUCGGUGGUAACAUACAUGCUUGAUCCUGCCACUGUUCUGUGGUCACUGACUGAAUCGGUGAUGGUCAUUGUUCCCAUAGAAUGGUAACAGUGCACGCUUGACCCUAGCAUUGUCCAGUGGUCACCAACUGAAUCGGUGAUGGUCACUAUUCCCAUCGAAUGACUCGAUGGUAACAGUGCACUGUAACACCCUGUCCUCCAAAGCUGCACCGCCCAGGCCUUCUAAGGGGUGGGCACACUUACACAUAACAAUCUACUUACACUUUUGUCCUUACUUCGUGUAAAAGGGUUAACCUGAAGGUGUUAUGGCUAGAAGACAGAGGCUUAUAAGUUGGCCCACCCUUGCUCAACUAGCAAGGUGGUACUAAACAGGCGCACUUGUGCUGAUGGACCACUACUGGCCAACCAAAUUGGGUCGGGCAUCACAUACACCCCCCUCAAAGAACCCGACGUCCUCGUCGGUCCAACUCACCUACACUUGGGCACAUGUCUAGGAAUGUUCCCUCUUAGCGCAUGACCGUACGUCUAGUGCCGGCACCAUAUGCCAUGCCAUGUGUCCCAUCCAGAGCCCACACGCGUCAUGCGCCAUAUGCCCGCACACUGAUCCUUACGCGCAACCAUGAGGGUCGGCUUUAAUACCACUUGUAACACCCCGUCCUCCAAAGAUGCACUGUCCAGCCCUUCCGAGGGGCGGGCACGUGUACACAUAGCACCAUACUUACACUUUCGUUCUUGCUUCGUGUAAAAGAAUUAACCCAAAGGUGUUAUGGAUGGAAGACAAAGGCUUAAAAUUGGCUCCACCCUUACUCAACUACCAAGGUGGUACUAACACAUGCACACCUAUGCUCAUGGGCCACUACUGGGCCAACCAAAUUGGGCCGAGCGUCACAUGCCUGUGGUCAUCGACUGAAUCGGUGACACUUCCUGUUCCCAGAGUAUGAGUCGGUGGAAUGUGUCGGUGCACAUUUCCAGCAGGAUUCGCUUCAAAUCUUCAUGUGUCCUUGUCCCGAUUUCAUUACCAUCAUUUGUACUAUCAUUUGGAUGCCAUAGAAUUCUUCUAAGUCUUUAUUUUUCUUCUCAUUUUGAUGGUUUUGUAAAUUAUCCUUGGGACUGUUGGGAUACGAGGUAGGCUACACUAGCGCAAAUCAAAAUUUCUACCGCGUAUAACCAGUAAGAACUGCCGUAUAAGGAUCACGGGAUUACCACUCAACGCACUACUGGUGCGGAAGAUGUAGAUAUGCGUCGGUGCAGUGAAGACGAUCACAUAGUCGUACGUAGUCGAUCACGUCCAGCAGCUCCUCAACAGCUCGUCCACGUGCAGCAAGAUCACCUCCGGUACCGCGGCUCGUCGUCGGCUCGUCGUGGCUCGUCGGCGGCUCCUCGGUGGCUCGUCCAAGUGCUGCAGGCGCAACACCUCCAAGGUAUCCACACGUGCGGGAAGGAAGCGUCGCAAGCCGGACUGCUAGAUCCGCGAGUUGCAACAGGCGAGGGCGUGGGAGGCGCGGCAGGUGUGUUUCGCCAAAAGGUGUAAACCCUAGGGCGCCCCCACCCCUCUAUUUAUAGAGGUUCCUGAUGGGCCUCUAGAUCCGAGGCCCAUUAGUACUCCUAAACCUAAUCCAACUCGGAUCAGAUCCGAAUUGGGCUUCCAGCCCCUUAAGUGUGUGACCCUAUGGGUUCGGAUACGUAUAGACAUGGCCCGAGUACUCCUACUCGGCCCAAUAGUCGGUAGCGGCCUCUAGCAAGAUGUGCCAACUCCUAUACGCACACGAAGAUCAUAUCAGACGAACCAUCACAACAUAAUAUACAUGCUAUUCCCUUUGCCUCACGAUAUUUGGUCUAGCUUCAAGCCGACCGCUCUUUCUCGAUCCUGUGAUUCGGAAUCCCUUUGUAGGUUAACUCUUAACCGUACGUAGCAUGGCCAUGCAUUUUCGGAUCCGAUCACUCGAGGGGCCCAGAGAUAUCACUCUCAAUCAGAGAGGGGCAAAUCCCAUCUUGAUUGACCAUGUCUCAUAGCAUGCUUCUUGACAAACCCGAAAGCUACCUUUAUAACUACCCUGUUACGGCGUAGCGUUUGAUAGCCCCUAAGUAGGUCGAUCCACAUCUAGAAUACAUGCGACAAUCUCAGGUCUAAGGACAAAGCGUAUAUGUUGUUUAAAGAGAGAACUACUUCUCGUGUUGGGUCAGUCCUAACACAUGUCUCCACAUGUGUCCACAUUAUUAGUUCAACAUCUCCAUGUCCAUGACUUGUGAAACAUAGUCAUCAACUAAUACAUGUGCUAGUCUAAUAUUCAUGUGUGUCCUCACAUGAACUCCGACUAGGGACAACUUUAGAAUAACCAUACAAGUAAAGAGUUUCACAUACAAUUCACAUAAUUGCAAAUUAAUUCAAGUAGCCUUUAAUGGAUAUUCAAUGAACACAAUAUACAAAUCAUGGAUACAAAUGGAAUAUCAUCAUCUAUAUGAUUGCCUCUAGGGCAUACCUCCAACAGUCUCCCACUUGCACUAGAGUCAAUCUAGAAGGUACCUAAUACCCAUAGCUCUUACAUGCGCAUCAUGCUUAGCCUGCGGGAGUGGUUUUGUCAACGGAUCAGAAAUGUUCAGAUCCGUGUGUAUUUUGCAUAUCUUGAUCUCACCCCGGUUAACGAAGUCUCGAAUGAGAUGAAAUCGCCGCAUUACGUGUUUGUUCUUCUGGUGGUUCCUUGGCUCCUUUGCUUGCGCAAUUGCCCCAUUGUUAUCACAGUAGAGAUUCAAUGGGCUGGACGCAUUCGGGAACACACCAAGCUCAAUGAGGAAAUUCCUUAUCCAAACACCUUCCUUCGCGGCUUCCGAAGCCGCGAUGUACUCGGCUUCUGUCGUAGAAUCGGCCACCGUCUCCUGCUUGGAACUCUUCCAACUAACAGCACCACCAUUUAGCGUGAACACAAAUCCUGAUUGUGACUUUGAAUCAUCUCUGUCGGUUUGGAAACUAGCAUCGGUGUAACCUGUUACAACGAGCUCCUCCUGACCUCCAUAGACGAGGAACAUAUCUUUAGUCCUUCUCAAGUACUUAAGAAUGUUUUUCACCGCUGUCCAGUGACUCUCACCUGGAUCAGAUUGGUGUCUGCUUGUCAUACUUAGCGCAUAUGAAACAUCUGGGCGAGUACUUAUCAUUGCAUACAUGAUAGAUCCAAUAGCCGAGGCAUAUGGCACUCUACUCAUGCGAUCCCGCUCAUCAGCAGUCGAAGGACACUGAGUCUUGCUGAGAUGUAUGCCAUGUGACAUAGGCAAGAACCCUUUCUUUGCCUCUUCCAUGCUGAACCGCUUCAACACUUUGUCAAUAUAAGUAUCUUGGCUCAGACCUAUAAGCCUUCUCGAUCUAUCUCUAUAGAUCUUAAUCCCCAGAAUAUAUGCCGCUUCCCCUAAGUCCUUCAUCGAAAAACUAUUUUUCAGUGAAGUCUUUACGGACUCAAGCAUAGGAAUGUUAUUUCCAAUCAGUAAUAUGUCAUCCACAUAUAAGAUUAGAAAUACUACAGAGCUCCCACUAACCUUCUUGUAAACACAAGACUCUUCUUCGUUCUUGGUGAAGUCAAACCCUUUGACCACUUCAUCAAAACGAAUGUUCCAACUCCUAGAUGCUUGCUUCAAUCCAUAAAUGGAUCUCUGAAGCUUGCAUACCUUUCCAGCAUUUUUCGGAUCGACAAAACCCUCGGGCUGUAUCAUAUACACGUCCUCAGCUAGGUUUCCAUUCAGGAAAGCUGUCUUGACAUCCAUCUGCCAUAUCUCAUAAUCGAAAUAUGCAGCUAUAGCUAGAAUAAUCCGAAUGGACUUAAGCAUCACUACGGGCGAGAAGGUCUCGUCGUAGUCAACUCCUUGAACUUGUCGAAAACCUUUUGCGACAAGUCGUGCUUUAUAGAUGUGAACAUUUCCAUCCAUGUCCUUUUUCUUCUUAUAGAUCCACUUGCACUCUAUGGCUUUAACACCAUCAGGCGGGUCAACCAAGUUCCAAACUUGAUUGUCUCCCAUGGACUCUAUUUCGGAUUGCAUGGCACUCUGCCAUUUUUCGGAGUCUGGGUCCAUCAUUGCUUCUGCAUAUGUCGCAGGCUCAUCAUUGUCCAAUAAUAAUAUUUCUCGCAUUUUGCGGAGCCUUGCUGACCUUCGUGGUUGUGGCGGUGCUUCUCUUGCCAUGGGUAUCUCAACUUGUUCUGCUACGUUAGCAUCACUCAUUGAUUCUUGCCCGAUUGGCUCAUCUUGAACUUCUUCAAGAUGCACUGUCUUUCCACUCUUUUCUCCUUUGAGAAACUCUUUCUCUAGGAAAACCCCGUUCCGAGCGACAAACACUUUGCCUUCUGAUUGGUUGUAGAAAUAAUAUCCCAAAGUUUCCUUUGGAUAUCCCACGAAAAUGCACUUAUCCGACUUGGGUGUGAUCUUGUCCGACUGAAAUCGCUUGACAAACACUUCACAUCCCCAAAUCUUUAGAAAAGACAAACUAGGAACCUUUCCAGUCCAUAUCUCAUAUGGUGUCUUAACUACGGAUUUAGAUGGUACCCUAUUAAGUGUGAAAGCUGCUGUUUCUAGAGCGUAUCCCCAAAAUGACAACGGUAGGUCCGACUGGCUCAUCAUUGAUCGAACCAUGUCUAACAAAGUUCGAUUACGUCGCUCGGAUAUACCGUUUCUCUGAGGUGUUCCAGGCGGCGUAAGUUGUGGAACAAUUCCGCAACUCUUUAGAUGAUUGCUAAACUCGUGGCUCAAAUACUCGCCUCCACGAUCAGAUCGUAAGGCCUUAAUUUUCUUGCCACGCUGAUUUUCAACCUCAUUCUGAAAUUCCUUGAACUUUUCAAAGGUUUCAGACUUGUGCCUCAUCAAGUAGACAUAGCCAUAUCUACAAAAAUCAUCAGUGAAAGUUAUGAAGUAUUGGAAUCCUCCUCUAGCCGUCGUGCUCAUUGGUCCGCAUACAUCACUAUGUACGAGUUCCAACAAGUCUACUGCUCUCUCAGGAAAUCCUGUGAAAGGCGUCUUGGUCAUCUUGCCUAGCAAGCAAGCCUCGCAUGUCUCGUAUGAUUCAAAAUCAAACGAAGUUAGAAGUCCAUCAGAAUGGAGCUUCUUCAUGCGCUUUUCACUUAUAUGACCCAAACGACAAUGCCACAAGUAGGUAGGACUCAAAUCAUUAGGCCGAGGCCUUUUAGCACUUAUAUUACAGACAGGUGAACCAUCAAUAUUUAAAACAAACAAUCCAUUCACAAUGGGUGCAAAAGCCAUAAACAUAUUAUUCUUAGAGAUCACACAACCAUUGUUUUCACUCGCAAAUGAAUAACCAUCCUUCAUCAAGCAUGAAGGAGAUAAAAUAUUUCGACUUAAACUAGGAACAAAAUAACAAUUAUUCAACUCCAUAAUAAAUCCUGACGGGAGGUGGAGUUCAUCGUCCUGACGGUCAAAGCAGCAACUCUUGCAUUAUUGCCCACGCGGAAAUCAACUUCUCCUCUUUCCACGCUUCUACUUCUUAUCAUUCCCUGCAUCGAAUUGCAAAUAUGAGCAACCGAUCCGGUAUCAAAUACCCAAGAAUUAAUAAUUGUAUCAGCGAGAAAUAUGUUGUCUAUAACAUUAACAACAAACGUACCUGAGGUAGAAGUACUCUUACUUCCGCCGUUCUUCAACGAAGCUAGGUACUGCUUGCAGUUUCUCUUCCAGUGACCAAGUUCAUGACAGUAAAAGCACUCUUUAUCUGGAGCAGGUCCAGCUUUAGCCUUGGGCGCUGGGUCUGGCUUGGACACUCCAGCCUUGUCCUUCUUCUUCCAAGAAUUGCCCUUCUUCUUAAAGGUAGGCUUGUUCUGUACAGCCAUCACAUGGCUGGUACUAGCGCUUUUCUUAAUGUCUACCUCUGCUAUCUUGAGCAUACCACACAGUUCAUUCAGACCCUUCUCCGUCCCAUGCAUAUGGUAGUUCGAGAUGAAGUUCCCAUAGCUAGGCGGAAGAGAUGAAAGAAUGAAGUCAAUGGCCAACUCUUUGUCCAUUGGGAAGCCCAGCUUCUCCAAUCGCUGAGUGUAACCAACCAUCUUGAUUACAUGUGGUCCUACUGCUGCGCCUUCUGCUAACUUGCACUCCAGAAAGGCUUUGGACACAUUGAACCUUUCGGUCCUAGCCUGUGUCUGGAACAUGUCCUUGAGCACCACGAUCAUAUCGUGUGCCUCAUGAUUUGUCUCGAACUGCAUCUGCAGCUCGGGCUCCAUGCAAGCAAGCAUAAGGCAGCUUACCUCAAGAUUAGCAUCAAAUGCCUUCUUGUAAGCAGCCUUAACGGCAGCAGAUGCAUCAUCAGCAGGUACUGGUGGUAGUGGGGUGUCUAGAACAUCUUCCUUUUUCUCAGCCCUGAGAACAAUUCUCAGGUUACGGAUCCAAUCCGAGUAGUUUGUUCCAUUCAACUUGUCCUUCUCAAGGACCGAACGCAAAGCAAACGAUGCGGUGGUGUUGCUAGGUGUCAUUUAAUCUACAACAAAAGUAAUGCAAAAUACACUAAGACAAACGUAUCCAUGAUAGAGCAAAUUACAUUAAACUAUUUUAACAGAAUCUACUCCCACUAAAAUCAAUAUCCCUCUAUUGAAACUUAGUGAUUCAGGAUCCACAACUAACAAGUCCACUAGUGAGCUUUAGCAUCACCGCUAGCAAACGAGGUAGAUCGGUAAGCAACUUUUGCUAAUCAUAUCACAUAUGACUCCUGUUGUUGGGUGACAUCUCUAUGUCUCGGCGCCCAACCUUUAUGCCCCAAGGUCCUUAACCGUUAAGAUAACCUCGUUAAGCAAACCAACCCUUAUGCGUGUAAGUGUCCGACACAAACCCGUCUAGUCAAGGAAAACUAGUGGCACCCUAAUUUCAUAGACCCACCACUAAUUGUACAAGACAUGGGACGGUGCAAGUUUUAGUUGGGAGGGCAUACUAACUUAAACUUUGUGAGGGAUCAUUCUACUUCUAACAUCACAGCAUGCAGAAAGUAAAACAUAAACAGAAUAACAUUCACACAGUUGUGACACAGUAUGGCCCGUUUUCAUAUGGUGAUCUCCAUCUCCAUAGAACCUGUUCACCAUGGUGAUCUCCAUCUCCAUGUUCCAUGUGCGCCAUCCUCCUGGUGAUGAGUCCUCCAAGAACUAGAGCAUGCUAUUACGCCUAAUACCAAGAACUCGCAUAUCUCCAUAUGCACACAUCCCGAAUCCAAAACUAAGCAGCUACGGCUCUGAUACCACUGUUGGGAAACGAGGUAGGCUACACUAGCGCAAAUCAAAAUUUCUACCGCGUAUAACCAGGAAGAACUGCCGUAUAAGGAUCACGGGAUUACCACUCGACGCACUACUGGUGCGGAAGAUGUAGAUAUGCGUCGGUGCAGUGAAGACGAUCACGUAGUCGUACGUAGUCGAUCACGUCCAGCAGCUCCUCAGCAGCUCGUCCACGUGCAGCAAGAUCGCCUCCGGUACCGCGGCUCGUCGUGGCUCGUCGGCGGCUCGUCGGUGGCUCGUCCAAGUGCUGCAGGCGCAACACCUCCAAGGUAUCCACACGUGCGGGAAGGAAGCGUCGCAAGCCGGACUGCAAGAUCCGCGAGUUGCAACAGGCGAGGGCGUGGGAGGCGCGGCAGGUGUGUUUCGCCAAAAGGUGUAAACCCUAGGGCGCCCCCACCCCUCUAUGUAUAGAGGUUCCUGAUGGGCCUCUGGAUCCGAGGCCCAUUAGUACUCCUAAACCUAAUCCAACUCGGAUCAGAUCCGAAUUGGGCUUCCAGCCCCUUAAGUGUGUGACCCUAUGGGUUCGGAUACGUAUAGACAUGGCCCGAGUACUCCUACUCGGCCCAAUAGUCGGUAGCGGCCUCUAGCAAGACGUGCCAACUCCUAUACGCACACGAAGAUCAUAUCAGACGAACCAUCACAACAUAAUAUACAUGCUAUUCCCUUUGCCUCACGAUAUUUGGUCUAGCUUCAAGCCGACCGCUCUUUCUCGAUCCUGUGAUUCGGAAUCCCUUUGUAGGUUAACUCUUAACUGUAUGUAGCAUGGCCAUGCAUUUUCGGAUCCGAUCACUCGAGGGGCCCAGAGAUAUCACUCUCAAUCAGAGAGGGGCAAAUCCCAUCUUGAUUGACCAUGUCUCAUAGCAUGCUUCUUGACAAACCCGAAAGCUACCUUUAUAACUACCCUGUUACGGCGUAGCGUUUGAUAGCCCCUAAGUAGGUCGAUCCACAUCUAGAAUACAUGCGACAAUUUUUAUGUGUUCUUAUCCCGACUUCAUUACCAUCAUUUGUACUAUCAUUUGGAUGCCCUAGAAUUCUUAUAAGUCUUUCUUUUUCUUCUCAUUUUGAUGGUUUUGUAAAUUAUCGUUGGGACCUACAAAACACCUACAAAGGUACAUCUCGCAAACAUAUUAGUUCAAAUGACUAUAUUGUCAUUGAUCACCAAGAUUAUUAUGAUCUAUGGCCAUUUUCCUUACACGCAAUAUUAUAAUUGAUGCACGUAUAUAGCAAUCAUUUAUUCCAGGAGAAAAAAAUCAGACUGGAUAGAUGUGACUUCAAAAGGUGUGACGGGAAGGGACAACAAAAAUCCAUUCACCUCCGUUUGAACCCUGUGCUUUGCGGACUCGGCGUCGAUGUCUCGAAUAAGGGGGAAGAGCUUCUUGACACCAGGCUGAACCCUCAGUAUCUUCUCCACGAGCACUACACAACGACCAAAAAACAAAAAAAAAUGCUUAGAAUCUGAGAUGAUAACCCUGUGGAAGAUUAUUGAAUGUGUCCGUGAAAAAUUGAAAACAUACCUUUCCCUAGGAAGCCUGUUGAACCUGUGAUCAGGAUGCUCUUGCCCCUGAAGUAUCCUACAACCCCAUCGGCAUCCAGUUCACUGAUCAUCUUUGAGUGUGUGAGUGUGUGGAUGCGUAUCUCAAAAGUUCUGGAGAUUUAUGCCUCAAUCGUGUCUUUAAAGACUUGUUGGGUGAUCAGUAGUCAACCGGUAUUGUGAUUCUUCAGAGGACGGAAUUGGCCAUGCGUUUAUAGGGAAGAGAAGACAAAAAUGUUGUUCAGUUGUGAGCUCUAUCUGUCCUGGCUAGACGCUACAAAUGGUUUAGGUUAUUUAUCGGGCCGGCAGCAAAUUCUUGCAUAUUUUUUGUAUGUAUUCAAAAUUUACCCACUUACCUCAAUCUCACACAACUGUUAGUGAAGAAUGAACGCAAGUUCUCGCAAAUUUUUUUUGUAUGCAUUAAAAUUUAUUGGGCCUUUCUUAUUAUUGGAUUAUUCUCAUAAUAUUGCAAAUCAUAUGGAAGAACUAUGAGCCAUAUGGGAGCACCUUUUCAUAUCGCGCUUUUCCUAUCAUCUCGUCUACGGCCGUCGACCAAGCCUCGCCCCACCUCCCCAUGCCGGCCCCAGCUCCCAUGCCGCAACCUCGCGCACCCGCUCCAAUGCCUGCUCCUGUACAACACCUACCGGUGAUUCGGUCCCAAACUGGGUUCCUCUGUCCGGUUCAUUCUCUGAACCUCACUACAGCACACUCGUCGAUCUCACCGAUCCCGGCAAACUACCACAGUGGGUUUGCCGAUCCCAACGACUGCCGUGCUGUCACGGUGGGCAAGUUCCAAAGCCCUCAUCGACAAUGGCACCUGGUGCCUUGUCCCGCGAACCCUCAUCGAAACCCCUCUGAAAAUUUUCCACAAAGGUUGAAAUAGAGGGUUUAUACUAUCGACACCAGUAACAAAUUCUGUGUUUUUUGAAACAACUUCUAUGUUGGAAUAGUAAGGAGGACUCAAAUGAGGUGGUGAGAGGUCCUGGGAUCAAGUCCUACAGAUCGCAUGUGUCCGUAUUUUGUGUGAAAAACGUGUGACACAUCAGCAUUUGUAGCAAUUGCAGUAAUCAUUAACAUCAUUAAUUGCAAAAGGUCGUAGUGAAACUAUUAGGGUUUCAUAGAGGUUUCAUGCACAUUAAAUACAGUGACACAUCAGCAUAUGUGAUGACAUGGCAUGAUAGUUAUGAAGUGAGAGAGGGAAGGAGUUUCAUCAGGAUGAAACUGUGUAUACACUGUUUCCAAGACUAUGAAACUUGCAUUGGGGGCUAUAGAGUUUCAUUUCAUCUAACCAUAUCCAAUCACAUGCCUCAUAAUUAAAUGUCAUGGUCAUCCUAUGAAAUCGUGAAAUGAAACUAUGCACUGGGACUCUCUGUUUCAUUCAUGAGAAUACAUCUCAUUGGAUGAUGUGGCAUCCUUGGAAACAGUACGAUGAAACCUCACUGGGACUAGCCUUAUCCUCCAGAUGAAAGUUGUGCCGGAUUCUCAGUUGUCCGAUCCGUAUAUGGGUGCCUCACGUAACUCUCAGUUGUGCUAAAUCAUUCUAAUUACACAGUAUUUCUUGGCAGAUAAAUGUUUUUGGCAAAGCGUAGUUUGAUUGCUAGUUAUUUUCUGAACUUACAAUGGAAAAGGCUUGCUCAUGAUUGUCGAUUUUAUCCAGGCAGGAAGCCACAAAUUUGCCACAAAAAGGUAGCGCUUAACAAAAUGCAUCGGUUCAUCUCCGUCCGGCCUGGAACAUACUCAUGAACUCACUACCGUUGCAUGCCUACUAGUACAUCAAUGUUAGUAUGUGCUAUUCAAUUUUUCUCUAGUGCAUAUAUCAUCACCAUAUGGGGGAUACUCCAAGCAUCCUGUUUAAGUUUGAGUUUCCACUUGCCACCCUCAAAUGCAUCUAAUGUUCACAAUAUUUUUCCUUAGCCAAAUGGCUUUUAGAAAUAUUUUUCGCACUUCCCAUAUAUCAUUUCUGAAACAAAAAGAGCAAACAGGAAUACACGAUCCCCGUCAUCUAACAUGCACCUUGAAAAGCAGAUCUGGAGUUCUUUCUCUUCAAUCGCCAAGUUUCAGAAGGUUUGCCCAAUAAACAUUAUAACUACUAACUAGCGCGAACGCAUUAAGAUUUAGGAGUAUUCCUUAUUACGAACUGAAGCACUUCCUUUCAUGCUCUGCCUGUUUGCUUUGCAGGACCACACUACUUGCAGGGCUUGCAGCCUCUAUGCUUCAUGAUAAUCCUAUCCUGUGCAGGGACUGCGUGCAAGAGAUCUUCAAAGCAGAUUACUCAAAUGGAGCUCAAAUCGAUACGCUGUAUCAAGAAAUCAUUUAUAUGAAUGCAAAGCAAACAAGGGUGCCCACAGCCUUGCUAGGUGAGUAAUUCCAAUGGAAGAACUUGAUGCAGGGUAAAAGUAGACAAUAUAAUCACGCUACAUGUAAAUCUCAAUAUUGCUCCUAUCCCUGGGGACAAGCUAUUUUUUCGAAAGAAGUUUCUCUGCAUGGUAAAAGCCUAGGAAACUCAGGGCGUCCAUCACCCAUCCAGUUUGUCUGCUGGUACGCCGGUACGUGUAGGGGACAUCAGGUCUGAUGCUAAGCUUGCCUUCUUAGGCAGAACCUGUGUGCUUCCCUACCAGCAAUUUGCAUCUCCUUUGAUCAAAGCGGCAAGGAAUGAAUAAAGUCACUUAGCUGAGCAAUUGUGCAGAAUGAAUAAAGCCACAUAGAGCUCAGCUGAUCCCAGUUCCUUGGCAAAUAGGCUUCUUUUGCUCUUUCCCUUUAAACAUCGCCCACAAUCAAAAUUCCCCACAUAUAAACUUAUGGCAUGAAGUUAUAAAUAAGAUCAUCCACAAUCCAAAUCCUCCAGAUGUAGGUAACUUUACCUUUUGCUUUUCUCCUCUUUUCUUUUUCCUUUUCCCUUUUAUCUAUUUCUAGUCCUGCUUCUCCCUCAACCACACUUUAAGCAUCUUCUCUUUGCUUCCUCAGGCAGGCACGAACAGAACCUUCUAAUAUUAAAACAAUGACGGUUGGGUCACCACGCUUGCACACCAUUAACUUCAGUUCUUCCAACCAGUGAGCCUGAGCUCUUGCCUCCAUGGCAAGCCUUAGCACUGGAGCAGGGCCUCCCGUGGUGAAUGUGUACCAUGAGAAGUCCAUGAUCCUACCAGAUGUGUCAAGGGUGCUCACAUGCCUGUAUGAGAAAAAUGUCAAGUUUGAGACAAUCAAAGCCUCUUACAAGGACAUACUCAGCCUCCAGGUAUAUGUCCCAAUGUCCUUUGCAACACCCAAAUAGUAGAAGCAGCAGUUUGUUUGGCUUAGAACAACUCAACCCUCAUCUAAAGUUUGUAUCAUGUUCAUUUGUCUCUGCAGGCAUCAAGAAGUGUUCCGGUUCCAUUCUAUGAUGGUCCCCUGUUUCUGCAAGGUAAUGCCCCUAGCUUGUUGUGUAACGAUUGGGUUGCAUAGUUACAGUGACAUAGUAUUUUGCAAGCCACACAUGCACAUACUAGAAUCAUAUGUUUGUUGUCCAAGUGAAUAACUUAAAUCAGUGACAUACAAAAAAGAAAAACAGUAUGAGAAGCUUGAUGAAUAACAUUUUUGAGUAAAAGCCAGAAUAUACAUCUUUCAGAGAAAGCAAGAAGUAAACCACAAGUAAAAUGAUCAUAUUAGUAGAAAACAAUCAGAUUAAAAAAAAGGUCAUAAGGUGAUUAUUAUCAUUCCAAGGCAGAAUCUUUACGGGAAAAGGUGCAUAAUAAACAUGUUCAUCCACUAGACUUGCAAAAAAUGCUUCCAAUUAGUUUUAGGUUCUUUUUUUAAUCUUCUUGCACAUUAGUUCAGGCUGAAAAGGCCAUACUAUAAGCCAGCAUUUUGUAAUACUCUGUUGAUCUAAAAUUGUUAUGACAUCAGUAUAUUAGCAGCCACAAAGGACAUGAUUUAAAAUUCCUAUUUUCUUCCUCAAAGUAACUACUAAGUUAAUAAUCUUAACUUUAGAAGCAGAGCUUACAUAAUCUGUGCAUAAAAGAUCAACUCAGUGUAUAAACUGAUAUAGGAGACAUACUGAUGAUACUAUUCUCUCACAAAGAUUGAAGAUAUUUUUUAGCAGUAAUUGCUGUGAAGAGCAAUGAAAAUGCGCUAGAUUUGAAAAAGUAAACCUUUAUAUGUGUCAUUCUCAAUUCUUAUUAUUAGUAUCACCUGCUACCUGAAACAAUUAGAAUGGGAAGUGUGCGAGUAGCAGGGUACAUCAAAGAAAAAAUGCACAAAGACUACUAUGGUGCCAAUUAAGUAUAAGGGAUUUGCAUCACAUUCCAAUAACUAUACUUCUUGAUACCAAAAGUAACUCUCAGAAAGAAUAAAAAAGAUAUUGGAACAAUCUGUAGGUCCAAUAAAUAUAAUUUCUUCCUCCCUCACAAAAAAAAUAAGAUUAUAUAGGAUUUCCACUGACUAGCAAUAUGACAACUACAAAACAAAACAAAGACUACUCUGUCUAGAUGUUCAUCCUUCAGCAUUCUAUUUCCAAAUUUUUUACCCACUCUUUUGAUUACAAUGCACUUGUUAUAAUGUAAACUGGUUUGUUCCCAAUCAUGCAUGAAGCUUUAGAAGCAAAUUGUUCCAGGAUCACGAUUUGGAAACGGAAUGCAACGAUGUUUAUAUGUUUUAUAGAAAUGUUUUCAGAAUGAAUAUAUACAUUAAAGUAUUCUACAUGUCUGUACUAGCAGGAUUGCAUGGUAGCAACACAAAAUGGUGCUUCUUUCCAUGAAUCACACCAGAAAUAUAAAUGUGUGAAGCAAAUAAACCAGAAAUAUAGAUGAUACACCUUGAGACAGAAUGCAGAACUGACCUGUCCCAUAAACUGCAGAUUCAAGAGCAAUCUGCCGCUAUCUAGCAGAGACCUAUGAGCAUCAGGGGUAUCCUUUCCUUCUGGGAAAGGAUGUCCUUGAGAGGGCUUCCAUUGAACAAUGGCUCCGGAAUGAGGAGCAUGCCUUCGACCCUCCAAGCCGGGCAUUGUUCUGCCAUAUCGCCUUCCCACUGCAUGAUGAGGAUGAUGAAAACAAUGAAGACAUCAACCGAGAGAAGCGGAAGCUGGAGGAAGUUCUGGAAGUCUACGAGCAGAGGCUUGGUGAGAGCGACUACCUUGCUGGGAACAAGUUCACUCUUGCCGACCUUGUUCAUCUGCCUGGUACCCACCAUGUCAUUACAUCCGAGAGAUUUGCCUACCUGUAUGACUCAAGGAAGAAUGUGCAAAACUGGUGGAACAGGAUCUCAGCCCGAGAUUCCUGGCAGCAGGUGCUGAGGGACAUGAAGACCGUGGAGGAGGAGCACAUAAAGGAGGAGUAUGAGAGGCAGCAGCAGCAGCGAUGGCAGACAGAGCCACAGUUUGUCCGCGACAUUCACAUAAGCCAUCGGCAGCAGGAGGGCACAAAGUCACAGACGGUGCUGGUUGCGCCUCCCAGCACUGGUACCAUCAUAACCUCUAUUUCACCAGCUCCACGAGAACAUGAAAAUACCACUGAACAUAAGCCUUCCUCGCCUGUCGAAAGAAAUCAAGGUGGCUUCUUUACAACCACUGAAAAAACACAACCACCAUCACGGCAGACAGAUUCUACCACUCAGAAACCACCUAGUAGUGUCCAGAGCACUAAAAGUAACUUCUUCACCCAGCCUUCCACUCCUACCACUGCCAAGAUGCAUCAGAGAACCGAUGCCGAGAAGCCCAUCCACAAAGAUGCCUCAUCUCCUAGCAAAACCAGUCAAAUAUCACCCAAAGAAGCUCCUGAUAAGCCCCAUCUUUCUGGAUUUUUUAAGGUCAGUGGCUAUAAAUAUGAGGCAGGAUCUGUUGCCAAGCCCAGUCCACAAGCUCCCUCUGGGACCCCUGGAGCUAGGCAGGCCAGUGAAGCAGUUGCUAGUGACAAGCCCAGUCAAGGAUCAGCCAAAUCUCCCCACAGAAUUACUGAACCAGAUUACAGUGAAAGUGAGAGCAAACCUUUUGGCGUCCACCCUCAGGUUGACAAGCCUGACACACAAAAACAACAAACACCUUAUGGAAAGCCUCCUGAACAGACAGUUACACACACUUAUGUCGGUCCUGAGGCAGGUGAAAAACAGAAAAGUGCAAUGGGCACUCAUUAUGCUCAAGGUGAAACUGCAAAACAAUCUACAUACUCUGGUUACCCAGCUAUUGCAAAGAGAGCAACAGAGGCUGAUCAAAAUCGGGCUCCACCACCUAGAGCCCAGGAAGUACAAUCAGGUGUCCAGGAUGCCCAGAAGCAAGCUAAAGCACUGCCUGCUGAUCAGAAAGCAUCUGGCACAUCACCAUUGCAAGUAGAAUCUGAAGAAGAUACUCAAGGUGGCAUUGAUGAAGAUGAAAGAUUCUCAACUAAGAGGCUCAGGAGAAUGUUUGAUCCAGACGCUCCAGAUUCUCAAGACCCUGCCAUGGAGGGGGAAGCACCUGCCAUAUCCAAUAUGCCUUCAGAUGUCCAUGACAGAGAAAAGAAAACCACAACAGUACCAGCCACUCCUCCAACAGGCACAAGAGCUCCUUACACUCCAGAGACAGCAGAUGAAAGGGGAGCCAUUUUGCCACCUAAAGGAGUGCCUUACAAUGACCGUGCUACUUCUGGGCCAGAAAAAACACCACCCAUUCAACAAGUACCUCCUGCUGCUCCUAGAACUGACAAAUUGUCCAAAACAGAAGAUGCUAGCAUGAGAGGACCACAAGGAGCACCACAGCAAACCACAGUUGAUGCUAGAAGUGGUUCAGCACUUGUGCAAGGAGCUGAUGCACAUGCUCGUGUUAUCAGUGAUGAACAGACAUACAAGAAUUCCACCAUGGGUGGAAAAGCUCCAGAGGCAACAAGGAAGGCUUCUGACAGUCAAGGUACUUCAGCAUUGAUCCAAGAACCAAUUCUUGAUACCCGUGGGAAGCAAGCACCAGUUGGCCAAGAAGAAAUCCCCGGUGUUCGAGAUAUCGGUGACCGGGACACAACAAAAAAAUCUAUUAUUAACAAAAGGGCAGCAGAACCAACUUCAGGUUCUCAACAAAUUACAGAACCAGUUAAAGGAGCAGGCCCUACCUCACCUAAAACCCCUGGUGAUAAGUCAACCAGAGCAGCAACAGCUGAUCCAGGUGCAGAACUGACUGCACCAGUAGGAGCACCAGCUUUGGGUGGACAGAAUGCUUCUGCAGUUCUCCGAGAAGGAAAUCUUGAUGCUAAUAGCAAGAAUGAGGCAGCCAAACCAUCUCCUGGUGAUCUAAGAACCACACUCCCAACUACACCAGGAAGGCUAGCACCAAGUCCUGAGACACAAUCCCAUGACACUUCAGGUAAAAUUUCUGCAUUUCUGUAGACAUUGCAUCAUUACUGUAAAAUCAUUUCUCAUAUAGCAGGAAACUGUUAGGUGUUUCUUAUGGAACAAAUUAAGUUUAAGUACAAUACUAUUUUAGACAGCUAAGCUGUCAUGCAUAAAUUUAGUUACAUUUCUUUUUUCACUAGGACAACUAGUCCUUGUCUUACGGAGAGAUUCUUUAGAACCUUUAUAAGCUAUAAUGUUUGGUGUGUUGGCUGAUCAUAGGUAUAAUCAUGACAUAAUGCAGGUCAAUUGUCAAAACCAUCUCCACCAGUAUCUUCCUUAUCUGACACAAGGAAGGAGAAGACUGGUAUUGCUGAAACCAUUCAAACUAGUGUGGUAUCACCCAAUGAUCAGCUGGGUGGGCAAGCUACGAGGAAUGCUGGACCAGCUUCUGUACCUCCAGCAGUGAAGUCACCAGAAGAUAACAAAACAUACCAGGAAGAAGCAGCCAGACAAGAGCUACCAAGAGAUCAAUCCAGGGCUCAGUUAGCUGAAAAGAAGAAGCAAGGCGACGAUGCAACACCAACCACUAGAAUUGGCAAGCGCAAAGAUGAAGAUUCCUUGGCAAAUACCAGUGACAAUAUCACUGAACAGGCUCAAGGAACAACACAUGAUGCGCCAUCCAAGCUGCAGAUACAGUCUGACAAGAAAGAGCCUCAACCGUCAAAAGAUGGUGGCAAGCAAAUGAAAGAGACAACAAAUUCUUCUAGCUUAUCAACAUCCAAAGAAGUAUUGCCUUCACUCCCUGAGAAGAGAAAGCAAGAGCAGCAACUGAAAGGAGACAGGUCUGGUAUAUCACUGCAAGAAAAUGUAAAGCAGGGUUAUGAAACCACACCACUGGGGUCUGGAACAGUGCAGCAAAAGAAGGAUAUCUCCACAGAUGCAGAUAAGAACUAUGAGAAAACUUCAGAAGUUAAUCCGGAAGAAAAAAAUCCCCUCUGAUACUCAGCAAAUGAAGAACAACAGAAGUGAUAGCAAACCAGAUAGCUCAAGCAAACCUAACAAAGGUAAUCUUCCUGAGUCAGAGAGGCGUGGCUUGUAGACAGACCUAUGAAGCACCUACUUCAUGUCAUAUUCCUGUAGUUUAUUUGUUGAAGUCUUCUCUACCUCACCACUUUCACAUGUUGAUGUAAUAAGGUCUGUAACCUUAGCACCUUCAGACCAAUCGUGGCAUCUAUAUGACAUGUUAUUUUGCUGUUUUUCUGUGAUCAAUGACUUGUUUAGAUGUCGAAGUCCUCAUUCUAGUUUUGAAUCAUGACUACCUAAAAUUUUGGCUGAUGCAAUAAAUAAUAAAUACUCCCUCCGUCCCAAGAUAAGUGUUCAUUUAGAAAAUUUUGGACACAUUAGUAGUUGUGAGAAAUAACCAUGUUACCCCUUAUUAUUCAUACUAGUUGUUAUUGAAAGUUGUGAUGUCUAUUUAGUUUUCUGGAUCCUAAGUAAAUUUAUGUGCAUUGGAACCUGAGAAAUAGCAUAAAUUCAUUUGAUUGGCUCCACACACUUCUCCAUACCCUCUUUUUUAUUGAUGUGGGUAUUGCUUUAAUUAGAUGCGAUUCACUAGGAGUUAAAAGAACACUCUUUGCAGGACAAAAUUUGAAAGCUAAAACAACACUUAUUUUGGAAUGGAGGGAGUAUGUUCCUUUGUAAAUUAUCUCUAGUGUUCACCUAGUUCCUUUGUAAAUUAACUCCAUCUGCUCUCAAUUGCUAGUCUCGAAAGUAUGAACCAUUAAUUGGAACCUCAGACAGGUAAUUAGCCCAUUAACAACUAGAAUAUGGAACUGAUUGAUUAGUAGUUUGCAUCAGUUCGGUCUGGGAAGUUGUUUGGCUUUUCUAUAAGGGAAGAAUGCAGUCACAUUGCACAAAGUGGCAAUCUGCAGUAGUUAUGCUGCUCUGUGAAAUAUAGUUGGUUUAAAGAAUUUUGACUAAUUCCAGUUAGAUCUACUCUAACUUUUAUGGCAAGCAAAGGUUUCAAAGUACUGCAUCCAAAUUAGAAAGGAAAACACUUUUGAAAAGCGACAACAAUUCCAAAUAGAACAAAAAAGAAUGUGAGGUUAGCACCAUUAACACAGAUAUAGCAUUGUCGCUUAUUUAUCAACAAAUAUGAUAUUAGAAUCGUGGUUUGUUUCUCGUUAAUGUGGGUUCCUCUGCAUCAAAAACAAAAAGGCAUCACCGCUGCACAAAAAUGGUACCAAUGGUCACCACAUUAUGCCUCAUCCUAGGUCUGUUGCCAUGUGUUUUCUCCUCAAUGUCAGGACAUUUUUCAGCAAAAUAUAGCGGUAAUAGAGAAGUAGUAGCAUUCAGAUAAACAAAUUUACAGAACAAUUGAGACUAGAAAGAGAGCCACUAAUCACCGCAAUCCGCUUAGAGCAGCUAAUAGGACGUCACCAAAUCAGAGGUUACCAUCCAGAAACCCAGCUCGUCGUUGAGCGCGACCGCGUCGCACCCCCGGCCGGCGGCGCCGGCGGGCAUGACGGCUCCUCCCAAGCCCUGCUAGAGGUCCGCCUCUCCACCUCCGCCCACGCCCAUCCCAGCCGAUGCUAGCCUUCUCGACCACGCCUUGCAGACCGCUGGAACUCUUGGGCCCGACGUCGCCGUCGCCGCCGCCACCGCCGCCGUGGCCGCAAACCAUGAAGGUUUUCUUUCGGGCCAGCGGUACCCGCGACCGUGCGGAUGGCAGCGUCCUGGGCCUUGUACGAG
rnacentral:lncRNA from 1 species